GGGCAGCUGCGUGGCAAACGGGUCUUUUGUCUACAAAUCAGCUUAAGGUAGUGCAUACGGGUCCAAAAAUGCGUGAAUCCCAUGUAACGGAGCUCCAAUCAGAAACCCGAAAUCAAGUUCUGGAGUUGAAAAUCAAAAUCAUGAACCAAAUCAGAGUUAUUAUUGAAUUAGACAAUCCAUAAACCAAUAGAAGGUAAAAAAAGAGGAAUAAAAAUUCUUCUAAAUUCUUUCACCAUCAACAAAAUCAGUAAAACACAUACUGAUUCAAAAUGACAUAAAGUUUGUGAAUUGAAAUAAUGCCAACUCCUAAGAAAAAUUAUGACUGCUGAUAUUUUUUCUGAAAUGCUGAUAAAAGCUUCUGCUAUUUACUUUGAAAAAAUAGAGGUUAGAAGCCAAUUUACUUGAAAUUCUGAGUUUAGGCAAGAGGAUGAAUGGCAAAAGUGAAACAUUUUAGGGAAAAAUGUACUUCAGAGGCCAAUGAAAGCAUUCAGAAGAUUGAAAUCUAAAUAAGCAAAACCCCGUGGCCUUGAUCCAACAAAUCCACUGCUGUUGACAUGCCUGCAAGCCCAGCUCCAAUAAUAGCCACUUUCAGCUUUGGUCCUCUAUAAUGUUCCGGUUCUGGUAGAAACAAGCCCUUGGGAGCUGCCAAGUAUACCAUCCAAUUAUCCACAGCGAUAAUGGAAAUAUAUAUGUGUUUAAAGGUACUAAAUUCCUAAACAUGAAAUGUAUCCAAAGAGAGACACAAAGCAGAAUUGUGCAAGCAUUUCAAUUCCCAAUAAAUUUUAAGAAUACAAAAUACUCGGUCUGUUCCUCAAUUCCUUUAAUAAAAUUUCCACUAGAGGCUACGGAAGCCACUCAAUAACACUCCAAAGCCAGAUUUUAAAAGUUAUCUUUAUCUUUAACUCCAAUCCAUAAACAAUUCUGCCACAAAUUCAAUCCAAAAUUGUUCAAGUGCACCGCCACUUCUCCAUCAAUUCCCUCAAAAAUUCAUAAUUGGCAAACACUACAAACCAAAAAGAGCUUCCAGCAAUAAACGCAUAAAAAUCCACCAAGCAACAUAAAACAAAAUACCCAGAAACCAGAAAAGCCAAAAGAUCAAUGCUUGGCAAACAAGCCAAUCAAAUAAAACAAAAAGAAGAGAAAUUUACCAUUAACGCUCAUAUCAGAAACAUUAGUGUCCAAAGAAGCCCGUACACGGAAUCUUGGAUCCUUCACUUGAACCCGAGACCAUGUAAUGCCAGUAACUGAAGUUGCAGGAAACAGAGCUGAAGAACCCAUAUUGCAAAUCCUGAGCUGAAAUCAAAGAAAUUCAAUUGGAACUCAAUUCAGCUCAACCGAGCGGAGCUCUCUUUUGCUUCAAUAACAAAGUGUUUUUCUUUCAUAUCAACAAAGAUUUGUCAACAUCAACAAAAUUUAACUAAGAAACUAAAAUAAUGCGGUAUCUUUGAGUUUAAGAAUCUAACAAGAUGCUAAGGAAGAGAGUUUUGUCAGGGAACUGUUUCGGAGAGGUUGGCCAAGUGGAUUUUUGUUUUUUUCUUGUUUUGCCCUUUUCAUUAAUGCACAACAUUAGUCCACGUGAAGAGCACAAAAAGCUGGUGGCUUUGUCACUAACGAUAAUGGAUGGAGUGUCCAAAGCAACCAACUAAAUUUUAAAGAGAGGGAAUGAUAAGUAAUAUUGUGAACAGAGGAGAAGAAUAAAAAUUUUUCUUAUUUUUAAGUUUUUCCUAACAGCCAGUAUAAUAGAGUUAAUUUAUAGGUCUACACAUUUUUAAUUUAACUUCUUAAUUUUUGGAAAUAUGUAAAUUAGUAACAGCUAUACAAAUCAGACAAAUUAGACAAUUAAUUCUAGAAAUCAAGAAUGUCAACUAAUCUAAUCUUUCCAUAUUUUCUACACCCCCCUCAAGUUGGUGCAUAGAUAUUAAUCAUGCCCAACUUGUCAAUGAAAGAUCCAAACUUUGGCCUGAAGUGUCCCUUGGUAAGAACAUCUGCUGUUUGUUGCUCUGAAGGGAUGAACGGCAUACAAAUUACUCCAUUCUCCAGCUUUUCUUUUAUAAAAUGUCUAUCAAUCUCAAUAUGCUUCGUACGAUCAUGCUGAACCGGAUUAUUUGCAAUGCUUAUUGCUGAUUUAUUAUCACAGAACAGUCUCAUAGGUGCUUCAAUAUCUAGUUUCAGUUCUCCAAGGACUCUUUUAAUCCAUAACACCUCGCAAACUCCAUUUGCCAUGGCCCUAAACUCAGCUUCAGUACUGCUCCUGGCAACCACGUUUUGUUUUUUGCUUCUCCAAGUAAUUAAAUUUCCCCAUAAGAACGUACAGUAACCAGAUGUUGAUCUUCUAUCUGAAACUGAGCCUGCCCAGUCUGCAUCUGUGAAGACUUCUACACUCCUUUGAUCACUCUUCUUAAAUAAUAACCCUCUUCCAGGUGUACUCUUUAAAUACCUGAGAAUCUUGUGAACUGCCUCCAAAUGUUCCACAUAAGGUGAGUGCAUAUAUUGACUUACAACAUUAACGGCAAAGGCAAUAUCAGGUCUUGUGCGAGAUAAAUAAAUGAGUUUCCCUACAAGACGUUGAUAUCUACCUUUAUCAACUGGAACUCCAUUGGAAACCUCUCCUAACUUCUAAUUAGGAUCCACGGGUGUAUCACUUGGUCUGCAACCACUCAUUCCUGUCUCUUCUAGCAAGUCCAGAACAUACUUUCUUUGUGACACAGAAAUUCCCAUUCUAGAUCUUGCAACUUCCAUACCUAAGAAAUAGCGUAAAGGACCCAAAUCCUUAAUUUUAAAUUCUGAUGCCAGGUGCUUCUUCAGCCUACUCAUCUCAUCACCAUCGCUCCCAGUAAGUAUUAUGUCGUCUACGUAUACAAUUAGGACAGCCAUCUUUCCACCAUCUGUGUGUUUCACGAACAUUGUAUGAUCAGAUUGUCCUUGACUAUAUCCUUCUUUUCUAACAAACCUAGUAAAUCUCUCGAACCAAGCACGAGGAGACUGCUUCAGUCCAUAAAGGGAUUUCUUCAAUUUACACACCUUUCCUCCAAACUUGUCUUCAAAACCAGGGGGUGCAUUCAUAUAUACUUCCUCUUCCAAUUCUCCAUUGAGAAACGCAUUUUUAACAUCCAAUUGAAACAAUGGCCACUCCAAAUUAACAGCUACAGAGAGUAGUAUUCAAAUGGUAUUUAGUUUGGCUACGGGAGCAAAUGUCUCUUGAUAAUCAACUCCAUAGGUCUGUGUGAAUCCUUUUGCUACUAACCUUGCUUUAUAGCGUUCCAAGGAUCCAUCUGAGUUGUAUUUCACAGUGAAAAUCCACUUGCAACCAACAAUCAAUCUUCCUUCAGGCAAAUAAACCAUCUCCCACGUUCCAUUUUUUUCUAGAGCCUCCAUUUCUUCACAAACAGCCUUCUUCCAUUCAGGAACCUUUAGUACUUCCUGUAUAGACUUAAGUAUAUCCACACUUGACAAUUGAGAGACAAAAGUACGAUAAGAUGAUGACAGGUUCUUAUAAGACACAAAAUUGGAAAAGGGAUGUUGAGUACAUGAUCUAAUUCCUUUCCUAAGAGCAAUGGGAAGAUCUAGAGGGUCAGAAUGUAUUUGUGGGAUAGAUAAAGACUCAGACUUUAUAAAUUUAGAGAUCGUACCUGGAUUUUCAAAAUCAGUGUUUUUCGGAUCUGGAAUUGGAUCAGAUUCAUGGCAUUGAGGAAGUAUCACUGCAUCUUUCUUACUUUGAAUCCGUUUCUCCCUAGUGUAAGUUUUCCCGAACAAUCUCUCAUCAUUAAAGCGUGUCUCGUCUAUUAUCCUAGAGUCAGUUUUAUGUUCAAGCACUAAGGUAGUCCUCCUAUCCUCCAUAUUCAAGGUAUUAGGAUUAAAAAUUUCAGUUUCAAUAUUUUCCUUACCAUUAGUACUCAUGUCAAGCUCAAACACCGAGUUUUUAUUUUUUUCCCCCCCUGAAGAGGAGGAUUAAAAAAACUUUGAGACUCAAAGAAUGUAACAUCCAUUGUGACAAAAAAAUUUUGUUUGUUAGGAUCAAAACAUUUAUACCCUUUUUGAGUAGGAGAAUAGCCCAGAAAAACACAUUUUACAGCCCGUGGAUCUAGCUUAUCCCUAUUAUGAUUGUGUACAUGUACAAAGGCAACACAUCCAAAGACCUUUAAAGGUAAAUCUGAAGUCAAACGUGUCAUUGGAAAGAAUUUUUUUAAAACUGUCAAUGGUGUCUGAAAGUUCAAAACUCUUGAUGACAUCCUAUUAAUAAGAUAUGUAGCAGUAAGAAUUGCUUCCCCCCAUAAGUAUUUAGGAACUUUAGUGGUGAACAUUAAAGACCUAGCUAUUUCUAGGAGGUGCUUAUUUUUUCGUUCUGCUAUCCCGUUUUGUUGAGGAGUGUCAUUACAAGAGCUGUGAUGAACAAUUCCUUUUUGUAAGAAAAAUGACCCCAAUAUUUGAUUAAAGUAUUCCUUCUCAUUGUCACUUCGAAACACUUGAAUUUUUGUUUGAAAUUGUGUUUCAACCAUAUUAUAAAAGUUUUUAAAAACAUGUUCUGCUUCAGAUUUUUCUUUGAGUAGAUAGACCCAACUUAGGCGUGUAUGAUCAUCAAUAAAUGUUAUAAACCAUCUUUUUCCAGAAUUGGUUAAUGUCCUAGAGGGACCCCACACAUCACUAUGAAUAAGGGUAAAAGGCUUGGAUGCUUUAUAUGGUUGACUAGGAAAAGAUGCACGAUAGUGUUUAGCUAACUGACAAAUAUCGCAUUGAAAAGACGAUAGAAGUUUAUUACGAAAUAAGUUUGGAAACAAAUGUUUUAAAUAUAAAAAGCUAGGAUGGCCUAACCUACGGUGCCAUAACAUUAUUGUAUCAUCAGUAGAACUGAAACAUACUUUGAGAUUUGAAAUUUUCUGUUGCUGAAACAUAGAGUUCCCAUCAUCAAAGUAAUAGAGACCGCCAUACUCUAGCAUUGCCAAUCAUCCUCCCCGUAUCCAGUUCCUGAAAUUCACAACAAUUUGGAAGAAAUUUAGCACAACACUUUAAAUCACGAGUUAUUUUACUUACAGACAAAAGAUUACAAGAGAGAUUUGGAACAUGAAGGACAUCGUGAAGAACAAGAGUAUUAGAGAUAAUAAUUGACCCUUUCCCAGCAAUUGCUGAGAGGGAGCCAUCAGCAAUCUUAAUUUUUUUGAUUGCCUGCACAAGGACUAUAGAAAGAAAAUAAUUUAGAGCAUCCAGUCAUAUGAUCGGUGGCACCUGAAUCUAUUAUCCAUGGACAAAGAGGAAUAGUGGACACAUUAAAGACAACAGCAGAUUGAAUAUAAUUACCUUUCUGGGCUAAGGAACAAGAAGAAGAUACUGGAUUAGUCACUUGUGUGGACUGAAAAAGUUUAUACAGUUGUUCUAACUGUUCCUUACUGAAUGAAGGUGUCGUAGCUGUAGUUGCAGUGAAUCCCGACAGUAGAAACUCCCCUGCGCCAAUUCCAGUAGAUGUAGCAGUGGAAUUGGUAUCACCAGUUACUGUAAACCCAGGCAUGGUGUUUUGCACCAUUACAACAAGACAAUGAACAGAUCCGUAUGGGAGUCAAGCCAGGCUUAAUUCUGCCAUAGCUCUGAUACCAUGUGAACAGAGGAGAAGAAUAAAAUCUUUUCUUAUUUUUAAGUUUCUCCUAACAUCCAGUACAAUAGGGUUAAUUUAUAGGUCUACACAUUCCUAAUUUAACUUCUUAAUUUUUGGAAAUAUGCAAAUUAGUAACAACUGUACAAAUCAGACAAAUUAGACAAUUAAUCCUAGAAAUCAGGAAUGUCAACUAAUCUAAUCUUUCCAUAUUUUCUACAAAUAUCUUAAUGGGGUGAUUAAUUAAUUUAUUAUCAAGCAAUUGUAUUUAUUUAUUUAAAAGAUAUCCUUAUCUUUGUACAAGGUUUGAGGAAAGACGACGAUGUUGUGUUGUCACAUAUUUUUACAUUUCUCCAUAAUUCACUGCAACAUCAACUGGGCCACCACCUCUUGCCUCUCCUGGUUCCCCUCAAUUUUCGUAUUCAAUGUCCACCGUUGAUUGAACAUUUAUUAAAAUUCUGUGGUUAUUGUUUUUUUGCAUACAUUUAAUUCCACACGGUCUAUGGAUAGAGCAGGUGCAUCGUAGUUGUGGCCUUAAUUGUUAUUGGUAACUCAAUAGCUAAUUCUAAUGUUUCAUCAAGCAGUUUAGAGAUAACCUCUCUCGCUGAACUCCCCGGAGUAAUGCAAUCCAGUUUUCCAGUGCAAUCAUCAGACAGUUGAACAGCUUCUGAAUUCCCUUUGCUUUUCUUGUUUUCUUUUCCAUGUAAAGGGAGCUCAGGCUUCAAUAUAUCUGGGGAUUGAGUACUAAUGAUAAAGACAACAUACGGUAGAGGACACAAAUUGUUAUUAAAGAAUGACGCACUUUUCAACUGAGUACAGUAAAGCAAGAAUGGAUAAUUAGUUUUACCUGCAACGUGAAAAUCUAGACUCCCGACGAUAACCGAUCUUUGGUGAAGCAAAUAAAGAAGAAGGCGAAGUAAAAUUCACUGAGUUGAAUGAGCGAUCAUUGCGUAUGGACUUGAUUUGUUCAAUGGGUGAAAGACUGCUGAUAUAAUUAAAGACUGGAGAAUCCUGCAUGUUGACAAGCAUCAUUUUUAAUCAGCAUAGAGUCUUAAAAACCUAGUCAGUGGCAAAUGAUCAUGACAAGAAAUCUGAAGUAGAAACAGCAGAGCUCAACAAAUCACUAAGAGAAAAUAAGACCACUAACCAAGCAGAUGAAAGAAAAGCAAAAUAACCCAUCUCAAAUCACCACAUGCACAAUUUAAGGGGGCUGUGACAUGGGUGUAAACAUGACUUAACAAGUGCCACCAGUGAAUUCUCAGAGAUUGAAUUUUCAUACACAUGUCAAAUUUUUAAAUCCAACAAAUUGUUAUCUUUCUGAAGAUAUUAACUAUGCAUAGCAUGCUAUAAACGAAUCAUAUUAUCAGGGCCUUUGUUUGCCGUACACAGCAUAUGCACAGAGGAACAAAUCCAUGAGCUGAAAUCAUCAUAUUCCAAAAUAUUCUACCCAAUCAACACUACAAAACCCCAACGCUAAACAGAAUUGGAGCGAUUUACGAAAGCUAUUUGUCACACAAAGCACUAGUACCUCAGAACCCAAUUUGCAAAAAAGCAACAAAAAUGAAAAAUAGCAAAUGCCCAGAUGAAAAAUCAGGCAAAAAAUCCAAACUACAACCCCAUAAGCUGGGUCGUUCUCUUCAAACUGAAUUAAAAAAAAAAUUAAAAAAAUUAAAAUGGGGAGAUUGACCUCAAACUUGGAAACAGAAGCGACAGCGAUCUGUUUCUUGUCUGGAGUGUCCAUUUCUAUAAUCUACUUUGUCCGUUUUCACUUUUCAGUUGCUCAGCCACAAAGCCUCUUCAGUCUGAAGCUGAAACUCACCACACACUUGCAAAACGAAAGCAUUUUUUGAUUGAUUGAGAGGCGGGAAGGCGGGAAAACGAGAGAAAUUUGCCUUUGUUUUUUCUUCGUUUGGUCAUACAUGCGCGGGCCCCAGCUUGACAAGCGUUAUUAUUACUAUUUGCAUUAUUUGAAGGACGCGUGUCAUGCAAUGACGAUAGAAAAAGUGGUAAAGUGGUGCAAACUCGAAUGGUCACGAAAUGACGAUAAAAUAAAAAUAUAUUGUUAAUUUUUCACUUAACAUUGGAAUACCAUAUAAUUUUAUGGUCAUUUUCUCGCCGUACGCCACAUUCUUUUGAUAAAAUAAUACGGUAAAACUUUUCUAUAAUCAUGAUAUUAGAACCCAAUUAACUUUAUUUCUAUGAAGAUGUUAUAGCUUAAUAAAGGUAAAAUUGUAAAAAAUAUUAUUUUGACUUAAUUAUCUUUAGUACAAGUGAUAUAAAAAGUAAAUAUAUGAUAAUUAAUUAAUAAAUUAUGUCAAAUAUAAUAUAUGGACAAUGAUAAAAAAAGAUAGACAUAAUUUCAGAAAACUAAUACAUAUGUUUUUGUAGUGCUGGGAUUAUACAAAGUUAUUGUUGUGUAUUCAGUUAAUCAAAUCAAAGAGGAUGAAACGGCAGUGCUGACACGCGUUUUGUAACGUUCAACAACUUAAGCAAAAUGACGUGUGAAGACUGCGUUUAAAUAAGUAAAUCAAGUGCUUGUUAGAAUGACAUACAGUCUUGCCGUUUUGGAGUUAAUGAAGCACAAGCAGAACAUGUGCAAACGAGAAGGUUGUUUAGAAGCCGUUAUUGCACAUGAUUAGCACGAGCGUUUCUGGAAAUGCCUCUGAGGUUCGUUAUAAGCUGUUACACAUAGCUUGAAGAGAGAGAGAGUUGACGAGAGACUGAGAGCAUUGUAACAAGAGAAAGAAAGCUUGAGAGUUAGGAGUUUUCUUGUUCUUAUUGAGUGCUUGGUAAUCUCUGUAAUCAAGACUUGAGCAAAAUCAAUAAAGCUGAUGAGUUUGUUCCCCCGUGGAUGUAAGUCAAUGCAAAUUGACUGAACCACGUUAGCUAGCUGUGUUAUGUGAUUUCUUGCAAUUCAAUUCAAUUCUUUGUUUGUUUCUAAACACAAUCAUUGUCUUAGUUAAUUGUACAUUACUUCUUUAUCUUUUCUGAUUGUUUAGUGAGCCAUCUUGUUGUUUCUAAUAAGAUCUUGGGGGAGUGUUCUGUAAAGCUUGCUGGUAUUUGCUUAUCAGAAUCUUCAGAUAUCUUAAAAGUGUAAAGAGUAAAGUAUUGUUCUAAUUAAUUUAAAAAAAUAUUUUAUUAUUAACCUUUAAUGCAAUAUAGCAAUUUUUUUUCCUUGGCAACAAGGCAUUGUUCCAAAUAAUUAUUAUUGGAUCCAGAUCCUGUCGUAGACAUUUUCUCUAUUAAUUUUCCUAAACUUUUAGGGUAUGUUUGGCACGUAGGAUUGGAUUGGACUAAAUUAGAAUGAAUUAGAUUGGAUUGGAUUGGAUUAUAUAUAGUGCUGACUUAUGUUUGGUAUGAUAUUGUAUUAGAUUAUGUUAAAUUAAGUUUACAUGAAAUUAAAUAGUAUUUACAUUAAUAUUUGAAUUUAAAUAUCAACUAUUUAUAGAUAUUUAACAAGAAAUAUUAUAAUUAAUUAAAAAUAGCACUAAUAAGGUGUGUGUGUGUGUGUGUGUGUGUGUGUGUGUGUGUCUAUAUAUUCAUUUAGUUAUUUGGUAGUCAUAAUUAUAAUAAAGAAAUAUAAAUUAUUUAAAUUAUAGGUUAUUUCAAAGAGUAAUGAGAGAUAUCAUUUCAUUAAAUAAAAUAAAUAAAACUAUUCAAAUAAUAAAUUAAUUAAUAAAUAUUAAGUAAAUCAUGAAUAAAAAAGAAAUUACUUAAUUAAAAACAAUAAAUAAAUAAUUUUUAAGUUAUAAAUAAAAUUGUGUAAUAAAUUAUGGAAGAUAUUAUAAAUACACAAAUAUUUUUUUCACAUUAUCUAGUCCCAACUAAACCCACAUAAAAAUUAGUAUUAGCAAUUCCAUGAAUUUAGGAUUAAAAUUUGAAUUUAGUCCAUUAAUCCAAUCCAAGUGAGCAUGCCAAACAUGGUAUUAAUAUUUUAUCCCAAUAAUAAGUCCAAUCCUACACUAAAUCCUACCUCCCAAACAUAACCUUAAGAAUCUAUUGACAUGUGUCAUUAAUGAAAUUAAAAGGCUACGAUUUUGUUUUAAUUAAUUUUUACCUAAAUAGAUAUCAAAACUCAUGUGUGACUCUUGUUAAUUUUUUUCUUACAAUUUCUUUUCCUCUUAAUUCUUUAUAUUGACACUGAUUUCUAGCAAAUUAUUAAAAAAAGAAAGAGAGCACAAAUUGGAGAAAAGUGAUUGACAACAAGGUUUGCAUCUUAAUUUCAAAAUUUUCCUUUCUUUGUUGUUGUUUUUUUUUUGGGUUCUAUAAUUGUUGUUUUCACUCUCACUUACAAUUCAAUGAACUAAAUUAGUAUUGCUACUUAUAAACUGUUAUUACCGGGCAUAUAAUUCUAUUGCUACAAUUUUACUGUUGUCUAGCUAUUUUUUUGAGUUUAUAGUUGUUGUUCUAUUGUCUUUUUGGGGUUUGCAACUGAUGUUUGCUGUUUUUCUAGGUUUUAUAGUUGAUGUAUUGGGAAAAAUAAAAAUAAAUUUGAUCUUGAAUUCUUUAACUUCUAUGAAACAAUUAAAUUCUUUUGCUGCUAUAUUUUUUUGUUGUUCUAUUAUGGCCGGGAUGUGUGUGAAAAGGCAAGAAUCUACCCAAAAAAAAAAAAAAAUGACAAGAGUCACAUGUGAGUUUAGAUGUAUUUUUAAGUAAAAAUUAAUUAAAAUAAAAUCUUGGCCCUUUAAAUAACUUAAUAUAAUGAAUUUAUUCUUAAUAACUUAAUAUUAUUUAAUCUAUAGAAGCAAGAUCCUCGAAGACAAAACCUAUAAAUAACUUAAUAUAAUGAAUUGAUUCUUAAUCUACUCCAAAUUGAGACUACAAUUUUUUACUUAAAAAUUGACUAGCUAGCUUUACCUUGAUGGGCCGACUAUCGCCCAUACAUAUUUCUUUAAAUUUAUUAAUAUUUUUGUGCAUAGCGAUUAGGGUUUCAUGACAACAAAUUCUCCUUUUAGUAUAUAAAAAGUAUACUAACAAGUAGUGUAGUGUUCCCCUCCAAAAGGGCAUAGCUCACUAACUUUUAGUCUCUUUCUUCGGUUGACGACUCCAGUUAGACUCUUCAAUGAGAUUAAAGAUUGAAUAUAUCUAAAAUAUUAGCAAUAUUUGUGCUUAUAUUUAACAAAACUAGAGUAAUAUAUUGAUUAAUCUACAUAAUUUUAGGCGGGUUCUUAGGUAAUGUUACAAUUACAUAGAUUAUUUUCACAGUAUAAGCCAAAUCUUAAGAAUUAAUUACUUGAAUAAAAGGAAUAAAGGAUGAUCGAUAAAAGUAAAACAAAGAAAAUAAAUUAUGCCGUUAAAUUGGGAUAUUUGGCUGCCUUAAUCGCUAGAGAUGCUUCUCCAAAACCCGCGUGUAAACAAAACACAUAUUUUUAACAUAACAAUAGCCCAAGCACAUAAACAAGAGUGAAAGCCGAGGAAUCAAUUUCAUUACUGUUCACUAGUAUUUUCAAUUUCAUUAUUUCAUUAACUAUGUCAUUGAUAAAAAAAAAAAAAAAAACUCAAUUUGAGAUGUUAUACAUUACUUUUCAUUACUUCCCAUUUCAAACAUAUUUAUCAUAUAUAGUCUUAGUAGCUUGUAACCCUUUCUGGUAAGGGUAAAAUAUUUCUUACCCCUUUGAUUUCUGAGAUUGUCCUCACAAUAAUGAUGCUGGCCCCAAUUUCUAAAACUACUAUCUCUAUGAGUAAAUUCCUUAUAAAUUUUCUUUUAAUUGAAAAUAUUUAAACAAUUGAAGAUAAAUUUAUUUAUUUUUUUAUUCGAAUGAAAAUUCAAUUAAACACUUAAAUAAGCUAUUCCUUUAACAAUUCUUUUCACACCCAUCAUGUUUCGUAAUUUAUAUUUAUAUUUAUAUUUUAAAAUUUAAUUGAAAAUACUUUUUGAGAAACUUUUAAGAAUUAAGAAUCAUGGAGAAAAAAAUUAUUUAAUAUGAAGAAAAUAGUUUAAAAUCUUAAGAUUUGUAUGUUUUAUAAAUAAAAACUUGAAAAAAUACUCUUUCCGAGAAAAGAUUUAAUCAGAAAAUGAUUAAUUUUUAAUUUAUGAAUUAAUAUUUUAUAAAUUAAACUAGGGGUAUUUUAAGGAAUAUAAUUAAAAAAGAGUGUCAUAAGGAUAUUUAGGGGUGUUAGAAGCCAUACUCAUUUACAUAAGCCAUGGGAGUUAGGGUAUUGGGUUUCUUUUUGUUUUGUAUGAAUUGGGAAAAAUACAGAGACAGACAAAGGGAACAGUCAUUACAAAGCUGUGAAGCGUGUGGGAGAUACCCAUUUGUAGCUUAAACUCCUAGGGUAUUGUUUCUGUCUUUCUCUUUCUCACUUUCUCAGGCAGCAGAUGUACAUAUCAUGAAAUAGCCAUACAUAGUUGGUUAGGCCUCCAGUCCAUUAACUUAAUAAUGAAUUUUAUGAAAAUUGAUUAUCUCAUUGGAAUUACAUGGAUAUUGGAAAGCAUUACUCCAGCCCCACCAUCCCAACAAUUUACUAAGUUCAUCAGUAAAAGCUGGAUUUUCCAUUUGUUCUUGAGAUUCAAAUUAAGGCAGCAGAUUGCUCAUCCCAUACUAUCCAUGUAAUCUUGUAAAAGUGAAGGGCGUUUAGAUGUGGAAAAACCUUACUCCUGCCGCAACGCCUCAAACAGAUUGUGAUCAGACAAGACUUAGGUCAUCAUUAGUAGUAGUUGGAACUUCCAUUUGUUCUUGAGAUUCAAAGGCAGCAAGCUGCUUCCUCAGUGCUACUAAUUCUUCCCUGGCAUUGCAUAUGUACGCUGAGGCUUGUCUACCAGACAAACUUGCUCCUUCCAUGAUAUCUAUGUAAUCCUGUGAGGGUGAAACCAUUUAGGACACAUAUCUCUUUUUUUCUAUUGAUCGUGACAUAUUUGGAAUGAAACAAUUAUAAACAGUGACCUGUUUUGUAUAUGAGCCAGCAAGGAACAAGUUCUUCACUUGUGUCUUUUGAUCAGGUCUGAAGGGGUCUUUACCAGGUCCCUCAUGGUACAAAGACUGCCCGAUUUUGACAACAGAUGACCAAAUAACUUCUAAACCUUGGGACAAUGGAAAUAGAGCUAAAACCUGAUAAAAGGAACCGUGAAUGGAUAAUAUGAACAGAUGUAUAUCAUCCAGAAAGUUGCAUGACCUUUUGCAGGGCUCAAAGUCACUAAAAAAUGUGAGAUAUACAUCUAGGAUAAGAAAAACGAAAAAGCGUAACCUAAUAUGUAUUAUAUGAAUUGAAGGUGUCACUGAACACUACCAACCUGCUUUGCCACUCUCCUAAUGAUUUCAUCAUUUGGUAAGGGCAUGUAAGGAUCGCCAGGCGUUAAAACGCAUCUGAAAGAUAAUUCAGUUAUAGUAAGCAACACAGAAUACAAAGACACUUGGCAAAAGGAAGUCAACCAGAUUCCAUGACACAAAAUGAAACUAAUAAUGGCGAAACUUCUCUGUAGUAGUCUUCUGGUGAAGUGAGUGCCAGAUCUGCAAAGCAAGAGAAAUCAGCAUGUGGAGUAUACAAAAGAUCAUCUAAUCCCAGAGCUUGCCUCAAUUGCCUACAUGUUCAAAACAAGGAUCCGUUAAAAAAUGGAAAUUUGUUCAAUGCAUUAGCAAAGGGAAGUGAAGUGAAAGCUGAUUUCUUAGGCCUUUAAAGAGCUUCUUUUGAUUGAAUUCCUGUAACCUCACAAAAGAUUAGAGCAUCACCUUGACCGUUCUAGGUCUUGCAACUCAGUAACCCAACCAUUGUAUCUAAGCUGCACUGUCACAACAGGCACUCCAACUAGCUCAUAAAUAUUGUUGAAAAACUUCAUUUCCCUCCACGAUGAUGGAAGUAAUCGUUUAAUUCCAGGGACAUCACAUGCUGCCAUUAAAUAGGAAGUUGAAUAAAGGUAAAACAUUCACCUAAAUGAUUCAGGAGAACAAAAAAGCACAAGUAGGAAUAAAUAAGGAGGAUUUAACCACAAACCUGUAACAUAUGCUUCAGCUUGCACAACCUUCUUGUCAGUGGCCUGAAACAGAACCAGAACCUCUAAGACCAUAAGCAUUAAAUAAUAAACGCAAAGUAGCUGCUUCUAACAGAUGAUAUAAACAACUGAUUUACAAAUGUCUGGUCAUUGCAUUACCUCCAUCAGAGGGAAUAUCAAUAGACGAGUAAAAAAAUAAAUAACUAAACUAGCUUUUGCCGCCUAAUUAGAACCAUGUGAGAAACAAUUACCUUAGACAUGGCAAGUCCUUUGACAUAUGUUUCUCCAUUAGCAGAUUUAUCAUAAAGUAUCUCUCUGCAUCCCCACCUAAGAUGGAACCUGUUCUAGCAAAAACAGACCCCAAGGUUAGGAAAAUCAGUAGGAGAAAACAAACAAGAUUAACAAAUCACUGCAAUGAUGUGAACCUGUAAAUAGAAAUUUACCUGCCCCCUUUAUCUGUGAUAUGUUUUUGUAUGGGCGCACUCAAAUAAACGUCUGGAGAACCCUUGAGCAUCCGCAAUAGGGCAUAAGCAACAGGAUCCCACAUUCUCUGAAUACUCGUCCGUGUCCCACCUUUGGACAAAAACCAAUCAGAGAAGCUUAUCUGUAAGAAGAAAUGAAGUUUUAGGUAAGAUAACAAUUUGUAGGAACAAGGAUUGAUAUUAAAACAAACUAGAAAAUAAGAUGUCAUUCUUACACUAUCCAAAUCUCCUACGUCCUUCAAGGCUCCAUCAGGAUCAACGAGUGCCCUUACAACAGGACUCAGAGCAAGAGCAAGAGCAUUUCUUGCUUUAUCGUAAGUCUGCACUUGAGCAAUACAUGAGGCAAAGUACAUCAAAAAAGAAUCCAAAAGAGGCAAGAAGCUUCAACAUGAAAGAAGAAAUACUGUCUUAUCAUACCGCUAACUAAUCAGAGUGCAAAAGAUUACAUCAACAUAAUCAAAAUGGAACAUAAAUCCAUAUGCACUACCUUAAGCUAAUUUGUAGACAAAAAUGCGCGAAUCCCAUGUAAGGGAGCUCCGACUGGAAACCGGAAAUCAUGUUCUGGAGUUAAAAAUCAAAAUCAUGAACUUAAUCAGAGUUAUUAUUGGACUAGACAAUCCACAAACCAAUUUCAGAGUGUCCAACCACCAAACAUAACUAUCAGUAGUCUUAAGUGAUCAAGAAAUAACCAUACCACCAAUUUCACCACCUUAUUCACAAAUGUAUGAGUAUGAUCCUUCAUGAGUAAAUUUUUUUGUGUCCGCACUGACCUGUAGACAUCCAUGAAAAACUAUCAGAUUAUAAACACAGGGUCAAUUUAAAGAGGAGCUAUGAUUCUGAUCCAUCAUGAUAUUUGAAGAACAUUUUCAUAUUUUCCUACAACGAGUAAACUAUAACCAGUUAUCAUCACUAUAGAUGGCAUGGUCAAGAGAAAUUAUAGUUCUUGUUUCAAGAAUCUCAAAUCAUAAUUCCUUUGCAUGGCUAGUGUGCUUUUAUAAUCAUUCAAACACACUUAUCCACAACUAAGCAAGCUUUACCUUUUUCAUCAAUCGGAACAGAUUAUUGUAGCAUCCAAAGAAAAUGUGCAGGCCCAUUUCAAUAUGGUUUCCAUGUUUAUCAAUAAAUGAACCCACUUUACCACCAAUGAAAGACCUUGACUCAUAUAUAUCCACCUGGAAGGGGGGGGGGGGGGGGGGAGGAAUCUUCUAAUUUCUUUCACCAUCAACAAAAUCAGUAAAACACAUACUAAUUCAAAAUGAAAUAAACUUUGUGAAUUGAAAUAAUGCCUGCUCUAAAGAAAAUGAUAACUGCUAUUCAUUUUUCCGAACUGCUGAUAAAAGCUUCUGCUAUUUACUUUGAAAAAAUUGAGUAACUUCAAAUUUUCAGUUUAGGCAAGAGGAUGAAUGGUAAAAGUGAGACAUUUUAGGGGAAAAGAAAAUACUUGAGAGGCCAAUGAAACAUUGAAAGAUUGAAAUCUAAAUGAGCAAAACCUCAUGGCCUUGAUCCAACAAUUCCCCUGCUGUUGACAUGCCUGCAAGCCCAGCUCCAAUAAUAGCCACUUUCAGCUUUGGUCCUCUAUAAUGUUCCGGUUCUGGUGGAAACAAACACUUGGGAGCUGCCAAGUAUACCAUUCAAUUAUCCACAGGGAUAUUGGAAAAACAUACAUGUUUGAAAGUACUAAACAUCAAAUGUCUCCCGAAAAAAAUACAAAGCACAAUUGCAUAAGCAUUUCAUUUCCCAAUAAAUUUCAAGAAUACAAAAUACUUGGUCUGUUCUUGAGUUCCUUUAAGAAAAUUUCCACUAGAGAGCACGCAAGCCACUCAAUAACACUCCAAAGUCAGAUUUUAAACGUUAUCUUGAUCUAUAAGUACAAUCCAUGAACCAUUCUGCCACAAAUUCAAUUAAAAAUUAUUCAAGUAAAAUGCCAAAUUCUCCAUCAAUAGCCUCAAAAAUUCAUAACUAGCAAACACUACAGAACAAAGAGCUCCCAGCAAUAAACACAUAAAAAUCCCACCAAGCAACAUAAAUCAAAAUACCCAGAAACCAGAAAACCCAAAAGAUCAAUACUUGGUAAACAAACAAAUCAAAUCAAAUAAAACAAAAAGAAGAGAAAUUUACCAUUAACACUCAUAUCAGAAACGUUAGUAUCCAAAGAAGCCCGUACACAGAAUCUUGGAACCUUCAGUUGAACCCGAGACCAACAAACACCAGUAACUGAAGUUGCAGGAAAAAGAAGUGAAGAACCCAUAUUGAAAUAAAAGAAUCCAAACCCAAAGUCCCACAUCUAAAUAUGAUGGAUCCACUCCAUGCGGCAAUAUGAAAUUUAAGCUCUCUUUUCUUAUGUCACCCAAGGCAUUGGCAGGAUGGCCAAACACCUGAGUUCAAGUCUACAAUAGAGAAUCGAAAUUUUCCUUUGUAAAUGUUCAUAAGUAUUUACCACAGAUUUUCAAGUUAUUCUUGAUAGAUCCCCUACUAUAUAUGCUAUAAUAUUUCUCUUCUUUUAAUUUAAAAGUAAAUCAUUCAUAAUAUCGGACUUGUAAAGAAAUAAAAUUUUCGGUAAUUAACUGACAAAACAAAAAAAGAUGGAUUAUGCGAAAGAAGUUAAUAUGGAGUAAGUCGAGCACUUGACAAUCAAAGUAAUUUACUCGAGGUUGACUAAGGAUAGUACGAUACUUUCUCAAGUUUUCUGAGGACAUUCACGUGACAUUGGACUAUUGACUAUACUUUCUCAAGUUAUAUGAUGAUAGAUUCAGAAUUCUUUUGAAGAAAAUAUUUUAUAUAAACUUAAUUAUAUGGUAUAAAAUGAUUGGCCUUAAUAAAAUUAAAAAAUCAUAAAAAUAAUACACGCCUGGGUCAUGCAAUAUUUUCAUGAAACAAUGUGCACAAAAUGCCUGUGAUAAUGAAACAAUGUGCCGUCCUUAAACUAAUAUUAUUAGAAACUAUAAUAAGUGAAAGUUUUCAGAAAACAUGUGAUAAGUUUUUCUCGGAAUUUGUUUUCUCCUUUGUUUUGAUUUACGCGAGAGAUAGUUGUAAAGAUUGUUUUGAGAAGUUUUCAGAAAACAUGUGACGAAUCGUAGUAAAAAAUUUAUAUAUAAUAAUUGAAUGAGAUCCAUGGUUCACAAUUGCAAAUUAAAGGUUGGUUUUAUAAUAAACAUCGUUUUGUGCAUACCAAAUUAGAAAAGAUUAUAAGUAAAUUAAGAUUUUCAAAAUUUGACUAGUAUUAUAUUACGUACAUCAAUAUAAUAUAAAUUUGUUAUAUAUAUAUUUUACUCUGUAACCAAUGCUUUCAAAAACUUUGUACUUGUAUUUUUGAACAACUUUUUUUGCUUUUUAUUUAUAUGGAAUAUCAUUUAUGUUUACAUAAAUUUUCAUAUGUACCUAAAUUAAGCAUUAAAUACACACACUUUGGUAAGACACAUUUCUAGUAUCAGACAAUGAUAUUAUAUUGAAUGUAAUGCUUCAAUGAAUUUUAUUACUAUAUACUAAAAUACUCAACGAUCUUCAUUAAAAAAAAAAAAGAAAUUGCAUGAUUAGAAUGAUUAAAGUUCAUUUAAUGACGAGUUUCAUCAUUGACUGUGUCGAAACACAACAGCAAUCCACAAUACACUCAACACGAGAGGCGCACACAAGCAUGCAUGAAUCUUCCACCAUUAAACCUGAAAUCAUAAAAUGAAAGAAACAAGAUGAGGGUUGUUUUACCGUCUAAAAGAGGAUUCGAAAUAAUAAUAAUAAUAAUAGACCUUUGUUAAUAGUUACUACUAGUGGUCACUGCCUUGUCCAUCUUCCUUCUCUGUAUCAUCGUCCUCUUCCAAGCCGCUGUCAUCUGACCAAAAACUCGCCUACUUCUUUUAGGAGCAGGAGCAGGAGGAGGAAAUUGAGUUAGGGAUUUGGAGUGAGAGUGAAAGUGGAGAAAAAACAAGAGAGGGAAAAAGCUAAUUGUUGAGAAAUAUAUACCUUUCGUAUGGUUGUGUUAAGGUCGUCCUUCCAAUCCCAACAUGCUUCACCCCGCCGCUGCACUUUGUGUAAUUUGGGUGUACUUAAUUUUCCUUCAGAGAAAAUCUUCAUAUUGGGGCAAUUAUCCACCACUAAUCUUUCCAAAAAUGGGAACUUGAAAGCACAAUUGCCAGAGCAGAAGCUUGUCAGGUUUUUUAAGUGUAAAAGCUUCAACUCCUUCAAUUCUCUGAAAGUAAUAACCUCCUCUUGUGCUACAACAUCAUCCACCAGUACUAUUUCUGUUAUCUCAUCGCAUGAUUCUAUCUCCAUAUAUCUAAGUCGCACCAGAGUCUUUGCAAUUGAGGGUGUUAAUACGAUUUUCAAGCCUUCGCAACACGAUACCACCAGAUUUGCAAGAUUCUGAAAGGAUGUCGAGGAUGGCACUAGAUUGACCAAACGGUCACACCCCAUUACACGUAGAAUAACCAAGUUGUUCGUAACAGAGGACUCCUCUAUCAAAAUGUGCUCCAGUUGAUAUUUUGCUUUUCUUAUUUCUACCCUCGUCCCAUUUUCAACAUUCUCUUUCGGCGACCGGUCACCAUAUCCUUGUAUUUGGAGGACUUUCAUUGUGUGAAGUCUCUGGAGGAAGUCAUCAAGUGAUACAAUAGUCGGCUCAUCAACCAACUCCACAAAAAGAUAUUUUAGUUUGCAAAGCAAGUCUUCAGAAAAUAGAUAUUUAUUUGUUCCUAUGUACUUUGCAUCAACUUUCAACUCUUCCAAAUUAGGGAAUACCUGGGAGAUCGAUCAGAAUAAAAAAAAAAAAAAAAAUACAAGAUGAAUCAGUUGAUGAGAAUUAUAAGUUACCACUAAUUUAUACCAUAUAUUUUAUUCAAUAAAUCUUAACCUUUAAAAAAAUAGUAAUAAUAAUACGCCUAACAUCUAGAAUAAUUAUGAAUGAAUACUAUACACUAAUCUGUAAGAGAGUUACGUUGCUGACAAUUUGACUUUUAGUAAGAAACCAAGCGAUAAAGGCAAAGGCAAUAUAAGUCUUAAGCUUUAUGAUAUAAACUUUCACAGAAUCACAGUACAUACAUAAGAAUUGAAAAAUUGAUUAUAAAAUUCUUGUACGUACCCUUUCCAUCAAGAUAUUAGUAGUUCUUUCGUAUCUCGCCAUGAAUUCAGGACAUCCAGAUAUCCGUAAUUUUUUUAAGGAUGGAAAUUCAAGAAUAUCAAGAUCUCCAGUGCAGAAGCUUGUGAACUUGAAAAGAUCAGACAUCUUCAGAUAUUGCAACUGAGGAAACAUUACAAUAUUUUUGUUCCUUUCUUCUUGGUUGUCCACGACUAUUAACUCUUUCAAGACAGGACAGUCGACUAUCUUAAUGUGUUGGAGUCGAACAAAGCUACUAACUGUAGAAGAUGAAAAUAGACAUCUUAAAUUCCAACACGCGUCCAGGGUCAAGUGCGUUAAAUUCUGAAUACCACAAGAUAUUACUGUAACUUGGUUUUGCCAAAUCCUCUCAACAUUUAUUAACUCCAACUCCAACUUCUCUAACUCUGGUAACCGAACCUGCUCGAUCAAAAAAUUAACUCGUUAAUUACAAGCAACAAUGAUUUCUGUUGAUGGACAAAUCAAUAAAAUUACUCUUUCUCUGGUUAUAGUUCUUUUCAGUUUUCCAUACAAACAACCGUUAAUCAAGUUUUCCAAAUUAUUCCUUACUAAAUGUAUAGAUUUAGACGGCGGCUAAUAUAAUUCAUAUUGCAAAUAUUCUUUGAUUGUAACGAAUUUUGUAAUAUUAAAUUUUGGUUGAUUCGCAAUAGGACCUACUAUCCAGCGUGAGCAGUUCUCGGGGGAUUUAACUACUGGCACCUCGAUUAUAUAAAAAUUUGAAAUAUUUUCAAAGGAAAUCAAAUAAUUCCCCCUUGCAAAUAGUAAUUAUCGUUAAUUGCCGCGGGUUGACAUAUAAUUCUAAGAAAUUAGGCGAGAAGAGUCUCAUCAACAAUCAAUCAGCAGAUAUCACGUUUGGAAGAUCAUCAUGAUUUCCUCAGAUGCUAGAGAAUCAACGUGAUUUCCGCUCAUGCAGGAGUGGACACAUUAUCUUAGAGCAUCCCUCACUGAGAUCUUUUAAAAUAAUUAUAUUAUAAAGUGAACAACAUAUUUAGUAUAGAUUUAGACGGCGGCUAAUAUAAUUUAUAUGUAUUCUAAUGACGUAUAUUAAAGAAAAUGACUAGCCAUAAUUUCAAUCAACUUAUUAGUCUAUAUAUAUAUAUAUAAUAUUUUCAGUGAUGACAACAUAUUUAGUAUUCCAUAACAUGAUGUUUAUAAUAAUAAUUAUUAUUAAUUCACUUAUUGUGUCAAGAACCUUUUCUUUCGCUAAGAAUGAAUUUGUUACACCCUACUAUACUACGGAUAAAAAAUUUAGAAUAAUUGUGAAAUAUAAUUAUUAAUCAAUCUUUGACACAAUUGCUACCAAACAGGAAUAUAACAAAGAAAAAAAAAACAAAAAUUAUAGAGAAUUAAUAAGACGAUUGACUUAUUAAUAACUGACCUUCUCAGGGAAAAGCGUAUUAUAAAUUUGGACAUUGUCCUCCAAAAUGAUUUCAUGUGACUGCAAAUCAUUAGCUGAUUCCUCUUGUCUCUGUUGACAUUGCAGGUGUCUUGAUUUUAGAGUGUAAACUUAAUUGUGAACACAAUCUUAAUGCAUAGAUACAAGAUCUUUAAAAAUUAGUAUAAUAAACUUAGCACUAAAUCCAAAUUGGGUAUUUCGGAUUCCAUGAUUAAGAUUUUUUAAAUAAAAAUUUAAUAGAGUUAAUUUAAAAAUAAAAAUUAAAUAUGAAAAAUAAACUUGCACUUAUGGAUUUAAUUUUGAUAAAUAAUGAAUGUUCUCUUUAUAUUUUUUUUCAAAGGUAAAAGAGCGUACAAAGCCCAAAUUCAUUUUUUUAGUCCCUUACUCUCCCAUGAUUCAAACUUGGGUGGUUGUAAGAGGACUGAAAAUAUAUACGACAGUUAACUUCACUUUUUUUUUUCUUUUUUUUUUUUGUUGAGAGAAAAGAGAAGGAGGAUAUUACAAAGCAUGAAGCUCAUGCAAUAAAAGGGCUAUUAUUUUUUUUUUAUAUAAUUAAAAUGGUAAGAUUCUGAAGCUAAAAGAUUAAAAUAUUAAUUAAAUUGCAAACAUUAAAGAUUUUUUUUUCCAAAAUUGGUUGCUUUGAAAAUGAGAAUAAUAUAAUAUUUGAAGACUUUUCAAAAUUAAUUACUGUGAUAGAUGCACUAUAAAUUUCUAGCUUUAGUCUAAUGUAUAAAUUGACAAAACGAUAUUAGAAUCCCAGGUGAAAAGAACCCUCUCACACCAAUUAUUUAAAUUAGGAAUGAUCAUACCUCUGACUCUGGCGAACUGAGGGAGAGGAUUGAACCCUCCAGACGGAGACGCUUGAGAUGGCAAGAGCCCACUUUGACUAAUUCAUUACGAAAAUAAUCGACAUCUUGCUCUUGCAAUUCACUUAACUCAAGGUCUUCAAUUCUCUGCAGUUGCACGAUCAGCGAAUCCUUCAAGCAAAUCUCGUUAUUUAGCCAGAGUCUGAAUUCACGACACCAAAUGUUGGUGCUCUCCCAAUAGCCAUGAUCUCCAAUGCGUAUGCCGUACCUUUCCAGCUUCUCCAAGAGCAGGCCUCUGGGCAGAGUGCUGACGUCAUAGACGUGUAAUUCCAAAGAGGUCAAGUUGGGCAAAUGCUUCAACUCCUCAAGGCUUGCAUUCUUAACCCCUUCUACCUCCACCUCCCAUUUAUCAAAGCUUUUAUCUAUAUAUAGUUCUUCUAAAUGGGAUAAUUUUGACAGUAUAUUUGGUGGAAUAACUAUUAGACACCAACAAUCCCUCAAAUCAAGCAGCUUUAGCCAAGUCAAUUCACCUACUUCUACCGGCAACUUCUUAAUUGUAGAACCUCUUAAGCAAAGGAUUUCUAGUUUCUUCAAGGCUCCCACAACACUUAUAUCAACCAAGCUGCAGUCACACAAACUCAGUGUUCGAAGGUUUGACAGGAGACCAAGUGAUGAAGGCAGUGACCGUAGAUUCAUGUCAGUCAAGUUGACAACUCUGACCUGUAUCAUCCUCUCGAAAAAGUUGUUUGGAAUUGUUUCCCACAAAUCAGCACGUAUAAAAAGAAGUUCGAGUUGAGGACAUUCCAGUACUUCAGGAAACAAAUUAGUCUCGAUAUCAUGUAAGACGAUUGAAGUGCAAUGCUUUAUUGCACUUCCGUCUAACCAUUCCCUGCAACCAUCAACCUGCUCAUUUGUAGCAGUAAACACAUUUCGUUCAGUAGAUGCAAUUGAUAUGGCGACAUCGCGAACUACAUCAUGCAUAGAAAACAACUCUUCAUUCUCGCUUUCAUGGUCAAGCAACAUACAAGAAGCUUUGAGUGUGCGCACCAAUGUAUGUACUCGAUUUCGUGCUUCUUCAAUCUUAUUCACACCUUGAAAUAAACCCAAUCCCAUACCACACAUUAACAAGUCAUCAAUAUAUGCUAUGGCUGUAUAUCCUAUUAGCAAAAAGAUGUUCUUGAGAUCAUCCCUUCCUAGUUUAUUGUAGCUCAACUCGAUAGCUUUAAAUGCGGCUGGCUGUACAUCCUUAAAAUUCGAUGAAGGCCUUCUUAGCUGUUCCAAUGCAUCCUUCCAUUCACGUAUGCUCUUGCUCCUUAAUGCCCUUGCAACCGUCACAAUGGAAACUGGUAGACCUGCACAUUCCUUUGCCACAUCCCUUGCUACCUCUUUCAAUUUAUUACCUUCAACAUAAUCACCUGCCAUCUUCGUGAAUAGACUCCAAGCUUCAUCUUCUUUUAAAAAUCCAACUGGGAAAUUUUUUCGAGACUCCAUCUCUCCAGACAAUACUUCUUCACUCCUUGCCGUGAACAGCACUUUACAUCCCAUGUGAUCAUCUCCGUGAGGAAUUCCGACAUCCAACAAAUCAAGAUUUCCCCAAAUAUUAUCCAAGAUUACAAGGAUCCUCUUCUCUUUCUUCAGUCGAUCAUAAAGUCUUCUUGCCCUACCCGAUUCACUCUCCUCAUCAAAUUUUAGACCUAGUUUAUCUGCGAUUUCUCCUUGAAUCUUUCUUACGUCUCGACUCUCAGACACCUCAGAAAAAACCACCUGAUCGAAAAGCUUGUCACACUCUGCUUUUCUAGCAACUUCUUUAGCUAGUGUCGUCUUUCCGAUUCCGCCCAUUCCAUAAAUCAAAAGCAUGUUGACAUUGGGAUUUUUUAAAGCAUCAAUUAUUUCAUUCAGAAUGGACGUUCUUGAUUCAAAGGCCUCGAAGUCUUUGUUAGGCAUAAGCAAGGUAUCCUCCGGAAUGAUGCUGUAGGAAAUACUAUUAACUGGUCUAGCGUCCAGGACUUUGACAACAGCCUCCUUCUGCCUCUCUGCUUCCUUGCUAAGUCGAGGGCGGGUCUUCAAAUUAGGACAUAACCCCUUGAAACAACGCUUAUUUGCAGUGGCUUCAUCUUCUGUAAAUUUAUCUGCCUCUUCAAUGACACUGUUAGCCGUUGCAAGCCAUUUCUCAACGUUCUCUUCAAUCUCUUCUCCUUUUCUUUUAGCCUCAUCAACCCGGUGCUCUAGAGUAACCCUCUCAGACUUCAGAUUGUCAACUUCAGUCUUGAGAUUCUGCAAGUUACUUGUGUACUUACUCUUGCGCAAAUAGCAAAUUCGGCGAUAUGCGGCAGGAGCCACGCACUUUACAACUUCUAAAACAAUAGUAAGAAUGAUUUCAGCCAUCUUCAGUCCUUUGUCCUUGUCUCUCUAUCUCUCUUUUUCUGAAUUUUGGAAAAACAAUUCAACAAGCGACCACAACAAGAUGGAACAAAUAAAAAGGAAAAAAAAUACAAAGAGUGGAUGGAGAAUAAAACAGAGACAGCGGCACAGCUGGACACAACUAGAUAGAGAACAGAGGAAAACCAAAUAACAAGACUUCAGAUUACAACAAACAGAGGCCAAGUAUUAUUGUUGAGAUCAGAAGAUGGAAAAUUCAAAAGAGUUGAUGGCAGAUGCUGAAUAACAGAACAACAAUGAACGCAAUAAACAGAAGCAAAGUGUGUUUGUGAUCGACAGACGGAAGUAAGGAGAGCGGUUGUUGAUUGAAAAUGAAUGAAUGCAAAGAAAGACUGAUGUUGAAAAUUGAUGUCAAUAGCGAAGGAAUAAUUGAACUUUCGCUGAAUUAUUGUUUGUGGCUUCUUUUACUUUUUAUUUGUGGGUCAUGUCUCUUGGAACUAAUCAUCUUAGGUUAUGCCUUAUAGCUUUAAGGCCGGUAAACCGGUGUCCGUUGGAUUAGCAUAUAGAAAUCCAACAGUGGAUAUAUGUACUUGCAGAAUAAAAUUCAAGAGCAAAGGGAGUGCCGGGCUGCAGUUUCUUAAGGAGAUUUAUAUAUCCUCCUCAAAAAUAAAUGUUUUAAGGUAGAUAUUUAGACUAUUUCAUCAUAAAAUAAAUGUAAUUAAUUUUCAAUAAAUAUCUUAUAUAAAUAUUUAUUUAUUUUUUUAAUUACUAAUGACCUUUGAAUAUACAUAUAUACAUAUUACUAAUUCAAAAAAUAAAUUGUGAUUAUUUGUUAAUGCAUGUGAUUACUUGUGAUGGUAAACAAAGUAGAUAUGGUAUAUUUUGAAGUUAAAUUAAAAAAAAAAAAACAGAGCUUUUACCAUUACUUGCCUUAUCAUCUUUUAAAUUAGAGUUAUUAUUCUUUUAUUUUUCAAGUUGCCAACUCAUCGCAUUCUCUUUUAUUGAAUUUGAAGGUUAAUGAUUAUAAAUUUGUGUAAAAAUUUGAAGUCAAAAUUUUAAAUUAAAAUAAUCUUUAAGUUAUUGAAAAAUAAUAACUUAGUAAAACAAAUAUUAUAUCCUAUACUUUAUUGCUACAAAAUUACGAAACCUUUUAGUUUCAAAAAAAAAAUUUAUGAAACCUUAUAUUAUAUUAUGUUUCCAUAUUUCUCCUUUAUAGUGAAGACUCAUACUUCUCUAAUAAAUGCUAAAGAAUUGGCUUAAUUUUUUUAACCAGCAUGGUAGACCCUUAAGCUAUAUAUACUAUAAUGUCCCUCUUCUCUCACAACAGAUUAAACCAAUCUGAUCUCAGAGUGAGUUGAUACCAUGACUUUGCAUCAUUCGUGAUCAAAGGAGCAUCAUUACUAACUAAUACAUGCUCGAUCAAUAGGCAUGAUAAUAAAUUUUUUAUCUACAAACACUAUUUUUCAAAAUAUUAUAUCUUUAGACUUAACUAAAUAUUUUUUAACUAUGUAGAUAUAGUUUGUUUGAUCUCUUUUAAAUAGUGGAGAUUACAAACAAACAGAUGCGAAUUAGUAGUGAUGUUGAGUUCAGAAGAUUGAAGUUAAGAAAAUUAAGGGUUUCUUGAUCUAGAGAAAUUUCAAAUGAGUGAAGCGUCCUCGAAAUCGGAAGACGAAAAUAAGGAAAGGGUAAGGGUGUAUUUUCGAUGUGAUUCUAUUAGGAGAUCUUUGAAGUAGGGGUGGGCAAAUCGGGUUUCGGUUUGGGUUGUUCAGAUUUCGGUUUCGGUUUCAACCAAUCGAGUUGGAGAAUUGAACCCAAUCAGGUUGAAAACGCCAACCCCAACUGAACCGAACUGAAUUUAGUUCAGGUUCAUAAUUCUGAUCGGACUGGGUUGGUAAUUCAGGUUAAAAUUUCGGUUCGGGUUAAUUCGGGUUAGAAUAAUUCAAUCUAAAAUUUUUGGUUAGUUCGGUUUAAAAUGGGUUGGAACAAUUUAAUCCAAAAAUUCUACCAACAACCACUUAAAAUCCAAAAAUCUCAAUUCCAAACAUCCUUAACAACAAAUAUCAACUACAAACCACCCUUAACAACAUUUCAACAAUAACAAUAACAAUAAUAACAACAAUAACAAUAACAAUAACAAUAAUAACAACAACAACAAUAAUAAUAAUAACAACAACUAUGAAUCAGCAAUUCAGCAUAUUGCCAUAUUCUAAAUUUAAAAAAAAAACACAAAUUAAUUAAUUAACAAUCUCCAAUUUAAUUUAUAAUAACAGUAAAAAUCCUCUCCAAUUUAAUUAAUAAUAGUCUCCAAUUGUUCAAUUACCAGUCAACAGCAACAAACCCUCUCCAAUUUGUCACGAACAGCCUCUAAUUGUUCAAUUAUUAGUCAACAACAAAAAAACUCACUCCAAAUAAUUGAACAAUUGUUAAUUAAUUAAUUAAAAAUAUUGAAUUUAAUUAAUAAAAACACCCAGGAGCAAGUUAGCAAUAUUCCCACUCCAAAAUCCAAAUAUCAGUAUAAACUAAAGGCAUAUUUGGUACAUUGUAUUAUAGAGUAUUAAAAUAAUGUUCACAUUAAAAUAAUAACAAACCUAUGUUUGGAACAAAAUUACAAAGUAUUAGGGUGGGAGGCUAAAAUGCGUGAGUUGACGCAUUAGCUUUGCUUUUUUUUUUUUUUUCAUUUUGCUUUUUUGACUUUUCUGUAUGCUUUAUUAUAUUAUAAUGCUAAAAUAAUAAAUAAAUAUAGUUUUUAAUUUAAUAUAAUAUUUUUAUUUUAUUUGUUUUUACAUUAUAAUUAUUAAUAUAAAUUAAUAAAUAAUUUAUCAUUCAAUAAUAGUAUUUUUUAUUUUUACAUUAUAAUUUAUUAAUAAAUUUAUAAUUUAUUAUAACUAAUAAAAAUAUUUAAAUUUGAAUAAUAUUAAUUUAAAAUUAAUAAUAAUAUAAAUAAUAACAUAAAAUAUUAAUGCAAUUUGAAUAUAUUAAAUCAAUAUAAAACAUUAAUAUAAUAUAAUAUUUAAUUUAAAUUAAUUAAAAAAUAUUACAGUACAAUAUAGCACCAAACAUUGUACAACAUUAUUAUAAUAUAGUGUUAAUACAAUACAGCAUAAUACAAUACACCAAUAUUAAAAUAAUGCAAUACAAUAUAAUAUAAUAUAGUGUGCCAAAUUCUAAAACUAUAUUUGAUUGAUGUAUUAAAGCUCUUCAUUACAUUAAAUUUAUACAGGCCCAUGUUUGAUAGAUAAAAGGCUACAACAACACUAUAUUGUUGGGCCAAGAUAAUGAGGCAACUGCUGCUACCUUUUUUUUUUUUUGUCCUUUAACAUUUUUCACUUUUCACGUGCUUUUGCCUUUUGCUUUGACUUUCCUUUGUUUUAACUUUUGUUUUUGUUUAUUAAUAAAAUAAUAAUAAAUAAAUAUAAUUUUUUUAAUUUAAUAAAAUAUUUUUUACAUUAUAAUUAUUAAUAAAUUUAUAAUUUAUUAUAACUAAUAAUAAAUAUUUAAAUAUGAAUAAAUUUCAAUAAAUAAUAUUUAAAAUUAAUAAUAGUAUAAAUAAUAAUAUAAAAUAUUAAUAAAAUUUAAAUAUAUUAAUAUAAUCUUUUAAUUUAAAUUAAUCACAAAAAAAAUUAAUACAGUAUAAUAUAAUAUCCAACAUUGUAUAGUAUUAUUAUAAUACAGUGUUAAUGCAAUACAUCAUAAUACAAUACACCAACAUUAAAAUAAUGUAAUACAACAUAAUACAAUACAAUAUGCCAAACGCACCCUAAGUGUCAAACCUUGAUCGGUGGGAAGCUACAGCGUCGGCAAAGCGUGACCGUGUGGGACUGAGUGAGACCGUCGAUCGAGGGUGUGAGAAGGGAGAAGAGGGAGCAAGGAGGUGUAACGUGGUGUGUGUGAGUUUAUAUAUAUAUAUAAUUUUUAAAAGCUAAAACUUAAAAAAAAAAAUUUAACCCAAUCCAAACGCCCACCUCAGAUUACUUCCGUGUUAAGAGCUGGAUCCCACACUCUUGAGCCUUUUUCGUCCCAGCAAUUAUAAAAAUAAGGGUCCGCCUAUGUUGCCACUGUUGUACCUAGGGAUGGCAAUUUUCGGGUCCGAGUCCGGGUUUGGCUGUUCCGGAUUCGGACCCAGACACAAAAUUCUCAUAACUGGACCCGCAUUAAACCCGGAUUUUUUUAAUCCGGGUCCGGUCCGGGUUCAACCCGAAAAAAUCCGGGUUUACGGAUUCCGGGUUUUGAACCCAGAUUGCUUUAUUAUUUUUUUUUUUUGAGAGAUCAUAUGGCUUAAUUUAACAGGGCACAAGGGAUGGUGGUUUAAUGUUUUAAUGUUUUCCCCAACAACACAUUACAUAAUUCUUCCUAGAAUUGGUUCAACAAAAUUUGAUGGAUAAAAGGCAAAAAAAGAACAUAUAACACAUCCAAAACCACCAGACUACUAGAACCAAAUUGUUUAACUUUGGUUCAUCAAAAUUUGCUGGACACAGGGCAAAAAAACAGAACAUAUAACACAUCCAGGUUCUAAAACAAAUACAACACAAAUACACAAUAUAAAAUCUAAAAUUCAAAGUUUUAAAGUAAUAAACAUCCACAAAUACAAAUCCAUAACAUAAUUCUACAACUUAAAACUCAAAUUUUCAGCCACUAGUGCUAAAGACUAAACUCUGAAUCAUCCAUUUCAUUAGACUGUUGCUCACUCAUCCAACUUUCAUUAAUCAAAUGCUCUGCAGAAAGUAUUGCUUCCUCUGGAAUUCCAUCUACAAAAAAUGUGUAAAUCAUAAACAUAAUGAACAAGACAACCAAUUAGUGAUAAAUUAUUAAUAAGAACAAUACAACAAAUAAUUUGAUUCUAAUAAAUAAAAUUUUCAUACCUUUUAAGUUUUGUUCAAGCCAAAACUAAUUUUGAGUGCACACCAAUGCCUCUACUGUGGAUGGGUGAAGUCUACUGCGAUGAGGGCUCAAAUGUCUACCUCCAGUGCUAAAAGCGGACUCCGAAGCAACUGUUGAUACAGGAAUGGCCAAAAAGUCCCUUGCAAUCUUUGCAAGUAUAGGAUAUUUGCCUUGAUUAUUCUUCCACCAUGAUAAAAUGUCAAAUUGACUAGUUGAAGGCAAAGUACUCUCCUCAAGAUAAAACUCUAAUUCUGAUUUGGAAUGAGUAUUUUGUGUGUUUUCAUUUCUAAAUAAUGCCCACUCAUCAGCCAUUUCAUCCAAAUCUAAAUCUAACAUAUUAGAGUCCCCUCCUGCAGCAGCUUGAGAAUUGGCACCAUUAACCCCCCACUUGAAUUUGAUAGAUGAUUUACUUCAUACUCAUGUACUAAAUCAACAAAUAGCUUACGCACUCUUUCAACUUCGGAUUCAGCUCUUUCCCCAUAUAUUUUAGGAAAUAAAAAGUUAAUCAGUAACAUUUUACGCCUAAGAUCUAACAUAGUCCCCACUGCAAGAACUCCAUGAAUAACAUCCCAAUACUUUUCAUACUUUGCAAUCAUCCUAGUAGCCAUAUUUUUUAUCCCCUCAAUUGGUGAUUGCAACCAUGCAUUCAUUGACAAUCUAAUUUCACAAAUCUUGGCAAAAAAUAAAUUAGAUGUCAGAUAUCGUGUCCCCGAAAAAAGUUCUGUCAACUUAUAAAAGCUUUUUAGAUACUCACACAUAAGCUUUGACAAAUUCCACUCUGACUCACUAGGUAAAGAUGUAUAAUUUCUCUCACGUUCCUUUAAACGAUCAAAUACAUCUUUAUACAGCAAUGCAGUACUAAGCAUCAAGUAAGUAGAGUUCCAUCUAGUUUUACAAUCAAGUACUAAGUUUUUGGUUUCCUUAAUACCUAAUUGUUUUUUUGCAUUCUCAAAAUUUUCAACUCUAGCUGGUGUUGCUGUCCAAUAAUGAACACUAUCUCUAAUUUUCUCAACUCCCUUUUGUAUCACUGAAAAACCAUCUCUAACUAUCAAGUUCAAUAUAUGAACACAACAACGCAUGUGAAAGAAUUUGCCACCCAUAAUCAUUGAACUAGUAGAAAAUUUCCCCAACAACAAGGCAAUCACAGAAUCAUUUGCAGCACAAUUAUCAGCAGUUACAGAGGACAAUUUUCUAUCUAUAUUCCAAUCUAUCAAACAAUCAUAUAACUCAUUACACAUUACCUCAGCACUAUGUGGAGCUGGCACAUAUAUAAACCUAACAAUGUGAAAAAAUAGUUAAAAUAUUAGACAGGACAUUAAUUUAUGCUUAAACCAAAAAAAAGGUUUCAAGAAUAUUACCUCAUAAUACGACUUCGCAACACCCAUGAGCUAUCAAUGUAAUGUGCCGUAAUAACCAUGUAUCCUUUUUUUUUUUGUUACUAGCAGUCCACAUAUCAGUAGUAAUUGCGAUUAUACUCUCACAAGCUUCCAAAAUACCCAUUGUCUUUUUCUUUUCAACAUCAUAAAUUCUCAAAAUUUCAGCUUUGAUGGUGUUUAUACUAAUAGUCUCAAUAGAAGGUUGGAGUAGCUUCAACAAGUCAUAAAACCCAACAUACUCAACAAAUGCCAAGGGGAGCUCAUGUAGUACAAUCAUUCUAGCUACAAAAAGCUUUACUGUAGUCAUAUCCCAUUUUGAUUCGGAACUAAAAUUACUAAGUGAAGUGCUUCCAUCAACUUUAGAAGAAAAAGAUAGGUGCAUUUGUUGUACAUUCUUAAAUGACCUUCUAGGACAGCGUUUAGCAUGGUUUAUUAAGUGAUUAGUACCCCUCGAAUAAUGUCCUUGCAUAACUAACCCACAGUAAUUGCAAAUUGCCUGAACUUCCUCACCCAACUUAACUUUUUUGAAAUGAUUCCAAGCAUCAGAGACUAUUCUACCACCACCAUCUCAUUUUUGUGAAGUGACAUGAUUAGUAUUACCCCUACGGCCACGGCCACUCCCCUGAACUGCUGCUGUUGAAUUUGGUUAUAAUUCAAUAGCUGUAUCAUUAUUAUUUUCUGAUUCUGUCCUAACUCUCACACAAACACUUUCAUCACUUUUUUCAGAGGCAUCCAAGUCGAUUCUUUGUUCAUUUUCCAUAUCAAUUUUUCACUUUACAAAAAUUAUGUCAAGAUAUAAUUAAUUCCAACAACUUCUUCCAAUUUAUAUGCUAUGUUUAACCGUAAAAGCUAUAAAUAAUAUUUUAGAGAUACCAUUUCUAUUCUUUAACAGCAACAAUAAAAAAUAAUUCAAAAAAUAAACUAUAAAUAAUAAAAUUGAAGCAUAACAAAGUAUAGAUUCUAAAAAUCACAGAGUUUAGCUAUUAAAGUCACAAAGUAUAGAUAUUAAAAUUACAAACAAAGCAAAACAACACAUAGAGCACAGAACACGGUCUAAUUAAAUUGUGAAGACAGUCACAGUGAGUAUCCUAACCGAAUUUCGUUAAUCUAUAUGAAGAGAACAGUUAAUGCCACAAGAUGACUUCUUCUAUCGCUGUUUGGGCCAGCCAAGAACCCACAACCAGUUAAAGCCUUAAGCUGUGCUAGACUGCUAGGUGGCUAAGCAAAAGAACUAGGAUAAAAUAAGGGUCUGCCUAGCGCAAGUCAGCGGUAGAAAUGUUAUUUAUGCAAAUUUCUUAAAUUUGACGUUAUAUCUCCUAAACAAUUCUUAGACCGGGAGUGAAGAUAUUUGCACAUAUUUGCAGAUAUCCUAAAAAUUUCUUACUGCAUUGGCAAAUUAUUCUAAAUUUCUAAUCGAGGAAAAAGAUCAGGAGUGUACAAUACUAACUGGAAAGAGUCAUUAAACUUCAAGCAACUCAAUAUACACAAGUAGUAAAAGCACAGGACAAGGUCGAACCCGAUUUCAGUGAGAGAAAGCAAAAGCAAGCCAAACAAAGUAUUAAUGCUAGUCAGGCUCAGAACUACCAUUCAUGCAGCUAGCCAUAGGCAGCAGCCCUUUGGCUAGUUAUACUUCAAAUUCAAUUCUAAGCUUACUCACUAACCAACUCUUAAUGCACAAAACCAACAAUACGCUUUAGCAGAAAAAAUGGAAACUGUUCUGUUUUAGACAAUAGUUUCUCCUUGUGCUAGAAAAACAAAGAACAAAAAAAGGCAAAUAAUUCAGAAAAACAAAAAGUUUAUAAUUAGCCAAGUGCUCUCAUAUGUCAUAUACAAAGAAAACCAUGUCUGAGGGAAAAUCAUGAAAUACUAGUUAUACAACCCAAGAGGGGGGUGAAUUAGAAUUCUAAAAAAUUAUUCAAUUUUUAAUUUAAAGCUCAAUGUAGAUAUGAAACAAAUUCAAAGCAAUAACAAAUAAGUUAACCACAAUAAAAAGGAUAAAGGAAGAGAGAUUCAAACACUGAGAUUUUUACGUGGUUCAGCCAACCUUGCCUACGUCCACGCCUCCAAGCUUUCCGAGCUUGAGGAUUCCACUAAGCAAGCCUCCAAGGUUUCAAAUGCUUACACUUGACUUCGAAGGUGUCAAUGACCUUUACAACAAGAGAUUAUCCCAAUCUCUUAACCCAAAUGUAUCCCAACACUUACAAUCACUCAAAGAUAAAAUAUUAUAAACUUGUUUUGCCUCUCACAAUAUUUAAGAUUACAAAAUAAUACCCAAUAUGUGAAUAGAUGAAGCAAGAAUGUAUUUAAAGCUUAAUGAAGAUUUUAUUCUCAAGUAUAAGCUCAGUAGUAGUGUUGUGAUCAAUCCUUGUUUAAGUUUGAAUGAGCUCAUUUAUAGCUGCAGCUGAAAACUAGCCGUUAUUGACUUCCUGCACACUGUCGGAUCGCCAUUAGCUAGAUGUCGGAUCGCCGUUUGACUGGUCAAUAUGACCGUUGAGCUGAUUUUUCAAAUUAUCGGAUCGCCGUUAUCUAGAUGUCGGAUCACCGUUUAGGUCUAGAGGCUAACCUUCAGUUCUGUUUGAUCUCAGCGAGCCGUUUAUUAAACUUGUCGGAUCACUGUUUAGGUCCAGAGACUAAUCUUUAUUUCUGUUUGAUAUCGGCGAGCCGUUUAUUAAACUUGUCGAAUCGCCGUUUUCCACAAAAACUGCUGCAGUGAACUAUUUUGCAAGACAACUGUUUUGUUUCUAAAUCUUUAUAAAAAUACUUUAUGAAUCAAUCUUAAUCAUGUUUGUUGAGCUUUUAAAAGAUUAAUCAAUCUUAAUCAUGUUUGUUAUCAUCAAAAUCAAUAGGGAAUUAUUUAUGUUAACAAUCUCCCCCUUUUUUAUGAUGACAAACUUUUCAAGAAAAUACUUGUGUAAUUUUGCUCCCCCUAAGUGAGAUUUUGAAAGACUUGUUAACUUCCCUUAAAUAAGUGUUCAUUUAAUUUUAAUCUCAAACAAAAUUUUAAACAAGACAGACAGAUUGAUUGGAUAAAUAAUUUAUGCCAAUACCAAUUACCAAUUACCAAUUAUCUCCCCUUUCAUCAUAAAAAAAAAAUAAGCUUGAGGAAUGACUUAUGUUUGGAAAAAUUUUGGCAGAAUCUCCCCUGAAAUAUGAGCAUAUCCUCAACAAUACAUAGAGUUAAAAAGAAAAACACUUCUAUAUAAAUAUGCCACCAUAUCAACCAACCUCCAUACCAACAAUUAAACACUUCCAUAAUUAGUAAGACAAACAAUAUAGUACCAAAACCAACUCAACCAGAAAUCAGGUGCACAUGUCCAAUAAAAAAUGUCAUAAAAACAUCAUAAGCAUAAGCAAAAGACAAAUGACAUCAUAAGCAGAAACAAAAGACAUGCAAUGAGAAAUGUCUGUGCGAAGAUCAGAGGAGCAUAAAAACUAAGAUGGGGGCUGUGAAGAGGAGCUGCCGGGGUCAUAACCAAAGUAGCCGAGAAUACGACGCUGGCCCGCAAGUAACUCCAUCUGCUGAUCUGAAAUUUGUUCCCGAAAGGUUGCAAAAUCCGAUUGAAGUUGCUGCUGCUGCUGGGACAGAGCAUCCACUCUGUCGAGAAGCUAUUGAAAGCGAUCCUCAGGAACAGCCGAUGCUGUAGGAGGGACGGCAGUCUUGGCAGGCUCGUCAUCCUGAGAUGAAGCUGCUGCUGGUGCAGUAGGUGCUACUGGUGCUGCUGCUCUGCGAGGGACACGCGGUCUAGCCCCAAGGCGAAAAUCAGGUAACUCAUCCUCGGAGUAGACGUCAUUUAACAUACGAUCAUCCUCUGGUGCAAGCAGUGUGUCUUCGUUCUUAGAGGAUAUGGUCUUUUCUAAUUUCCCACGCUUCUUAAAGAAUCCGAUUGAAGAAAUAAUUUCUCGUCCGAGCUUACGUGUCUCGAGAUAAACAGGCUCGACGAUAGGAACUCGAAAGUGUUUCAAGAUCCUAGUAAUGAUGCUACCAUAAGGAAGGGAUCGGUUGGAGACUUUAGGAGUGGACAACAUAUGACACAGGAUAGUGUAUGAUAAACUCACAUGCCGUCUACGGAUGAGGGAAUCUAAUAGACCAAUAUCAAGUCUAGUUACCUCAUCAGUGUGACCCUGUCUAGGAGUGACCAUGUGUUGGAGAAUGAUAUGAAGUAUUCGAACCUGAAAAAGGAGAAGUUGAGACCUAAAGAACAAAGAACAGAUGUCAUCGAAAAGAUCCCGACAACGACAAAUGUUCCGUACACCAUCCACAUGAUGGAAUUCACUAAAUGAGAUUUCUUUCCUAGCGGUGUACAGAUCUAACCCUCCAUAAGAGAUUCCUAGAAUACUACACAAUUCGGAUUCAUUAAAGGCAAUGCGAAUUCCUCCUACAGAUGUAUAAAGCUCGACACGACGAGUAGAAGAGAAUUCUAUGUUUGAAUAAAAGACACGGACUAGAUUUUCAUAAAUCGGUUCUUCGAUACUUAAUGCUUGCUUCUAAUGACUAAGCAUUUGAGUAAUGGAAUGACCACAAAUAGUAAUAUCCGAAAACUCUGAAAUGUUAAGAGAAAAAGAGGGAGUUACGGGUUUACCCAUGAAUUUUUCACGAAAUUGUUGAGCAGAGGUGUCAUCGGAAAAAUGGAGACUCUCGAAGUCUUGAGGGGGAGACCUGGGGGGACUAGAACGUCGCGGAGCAGUGUGCUUGGUUCGAGCACGCCUUUGUGGUCGUUCCGCCAUGGAUGAGUUGGGAGGAAAAUAGAUUGGUGGAAAUGAAGUUUGAGAGAUGAGACAGUGAUUGUGGGUGGAAAUGUAGUUGGAAAAGGAAGAAAUUUGGGUCAAAUUGAACAAAUGAGGUUCGGCUGGUUCUAAGGUUUCAAGAUGAGAUUUUUCAAAUUUUGAAGAAAAAGAAGGAUUUUAAUCGGUUAAAAAGUGGUAGAGAUGAUAAAGAUGGUUUGUAAUGCUGCAAUUUGGUGAAAAAUGACAAGAAAAAUGAUGGAUUUGAGAGGGGAGAACGGGUGCAGUCGCGGGUUGGAGUGAGAGAGAAAGAGAGAGAGAAAACGAAAUGAGGAGGAAGACGAAGGACUGUUCAAUUAAUGCGUCAUAACGGUGAGCCGUUAUAGAGAAAACGGCGAGCCGACAGAGUCCAGAGAGUUCUCUAAAAAUUUUCAUCAUACCGGCGAGCCGUUUAUAGACAUAACGGCAAGCCGAUAAGGUCCAGAGUGUCCCCUCAAAAUUUUGUAUCAGGACGGCGAACCGAUAGUUAGUUAUCGGCGAACCGAUAGCGUCCAGAAUACUUCCCAUUGUUUCUACCCCAAAACGGUUAGCCGUUUAUUGAAAUAACGGCAAUAUGUUUUCUAUAACUUAUGAUUUCGCACAUUUAUUUUGAUAUUUCGCUACUAUUAAUACAUUUCAAGAUCAUUUUAUUGAUCCAAAAUGAUUUAAGUGCCAGUUCAAUGCAUAAUUCGUGAACAUAUAUAUGUAUUGUAACAAUUAAUUCAUACAUUUUCAAAUAUACAUACACACCACAUGUAUAUUACGAUUGAGCAUUUCAUAGAUAGUAAAGUAUCAAGUCAUAAAUCAAUCAAUGAUAAUAGACUCAAUAGCAUGAAUAAAGAUGUUAAUGUGAAAAUUUCAUCAUCCCAAGUUCAUGUCGAAUUUUUGAAAAUUGUUCUUCGCAAAGAGGUUUUGUAAAAAUAUCGGCAAGUUGUUUUUCCGUAGAAAUAAACUCUAAUGCAAUAUCUCUCUUUUGAACAUGAUCUCUCAAGAAAUGAUGUCUUAUUUCUAUAUGCUUGGUUAGAGAGUGUUGAAUGUGAUUCUUUGAAAGAUUUAUAUCACUAGUAUUAUCACACUUAAUAUGAAUUUAUUCUAGGUUAAUACCAUAGUCUUUAAGUGUUUGUUUCAUCCAAAGAGCUUGUGCACAAUAGCUUCCUGCAGCUAUAUAUUCAGCCUCGGUAGUUGAGAGUGCAACAGAAUUUUGUUUCUUUCUAAACCAUGAAACAAGUGAGUGACCUAGGAUAUGGCAAGUUCCACUAGUGCUUUUUCUAUCAACUUUAUAACCAGCAAAGUCCGCAUCUAAAUAGCAUGUUAAAUCUAUAUGAGUUCCUCUAGGAUACCAAAAGCCAAUAUCUAUGGUUCCACUCAAAUAACGAAAUUUUUUUUUAACAGCAAGCAAAUGAGAUUCUUGGGACAUGAUUGAAAUCUUGCACACAAACAUACACUAAACAUGAUAUCGGGUCUACUUGUAGUCAAAUAAAGUAAAGAUCCGAUCAUACCUCGAUACAUUUUGAUAUCCACUUCUUUGUCCUUUUCAUCUUUGUCGAGCUUGGUUGUUGUACUCAUUGGUGUAUUUUUGGUCUUUGAGUCGUCAAUGCCGAAUCGUUUGAGUAGAUCUCUUACAUACUUGGCUUGAUUUAUGAAUAUUCCUUCCUCAUUUUGUUUUAUUUGCAGCCCAAUGAAGUACUUUAGCUCUCCCAUCAUACUCAUUUCAAAUUCAUUGCUCAUACGAGACGAAAACUCUUUGUACAACAAUUCAUUAGUAGAACAAAAAAUAAUAUCAUCAACAUAAAUUUGAACAACAAGUCUGUCUUUGUUCUUAUGUUUAACAAAGAGAGUGGUAUCCGCUUUACCCAUGGAAAAAUCAUUUUCUAACAGGAAAUUUUUAAGCCUAUCGUACCAUGCUCUAGGUGCUUGUUUUAAUCCAUACAAAGCUUUAAACAACUUAUACACAUGAUUUGGAAAUUUUUCAUUUUCAAAACCAGGGGGUUGUUUUACAUACACUUCUUCCAUAAUAUAACCAUUUAAGAAAGCACUUUUCACAUCCAUUUGAAAUCAAAUGAAAUCUUUAUGACAAGCAAAUGCCAACAACAUUCUAAUUGAUUCUAGUCUAGCUACGGGUGCAAAAGUUUCAUUAAAAUCAAUUCAUUCUUCUUGGUUGUAACCUUGAGCCACUAAUCUAGCUUUAUUUCUUACAACCACACCGGAUUCAUCCAUCUUAUUUCUAAAUACCAUUUAGUACCUAUGACAGAUUGAUGUUCCGGUUUAGGAACUAAUUCUCACACAUUAUUUCUUUCAAAUUGAUUUAACUCCUCUUGUAUUGCCAUAAUCCAAGAUUCAUCAUUUUCCGCAUCCGCAAAGGAUUUGGAUUCAAUUUGAGAGAUAAAUGCAUUAUGCUCACAAGUAUUCUUAAGAGAUGAUAUAGUUGUAACACCUCGUGAGAGAUCUCCUAAAAUUACAUCUUUAUGAUGAGAAGAGACAUACCUCCACUCCUUGGGGAGUGUUUGAGAAAUACCUUCUUGUUGUUCUAGCUCCGUAUUUGUUUGUUCUUCUUGUCUAUCCUCUUGAUUUUCUUGUGGUGCAUUCUCUUGAUUCUCUUUUGAUGAUUCUUUUUGUAACUCUCCAUCAGCAUCAUCAUUAGCAACUCCUUUCUCCGCAGAGGAGGGGUUAGAUUCAUCAAACGUAACAUGUAUGGAUUCUUCCACAACUAAAGUUCUUUUAUUAUAAAUUCUAUAAACUUUGCUUGAGUUUGAAUACCCGAGAAAGAUGCCAACAUCAGAUUUUGGAUCAAAUUUACUAAGAUUAUCUUUUGUGUUUAAAAUAAAACAUUUGCAUCCAAAAACUUUGAAAUAACCAAUGUUGGGUUUUCUAUCUUUCCAAAGCUCAUAGGGAGUUUUAUUGAGAUGAGGUCUAAUCAACACCUGAUUUAAAACAUAGCAAGCGGUGUUGACGGCUUCGGCUAAAAAAUAUUUAGGUAAUGCAUUUUCAUUUAACAUGGUCCUAUCCAUUUCUUGAAUAGACCGAUUCUUUCUCUCAACAACUUCAUUUUGUUGUGGAGUCCUAGGUGAUGAAAAUUGAUGCUCAAUGCCAAGAUUAUUGCAAAAAUUCUCAAAUGUAUAAUUUUCAAAUUCUCCUCCAUGAUCACUCCUAAUUCAUAUAAUACCAUACCCUUUUUUCAUUUUGUAAUUUCUUAUAAAGUACUUUAAAAGCAUCAAGAGCAUCAUCCUUAUUGGAUAAGAAUAGUACCCAUGUAUAUCUAGAAUAAUCAUCCACUAUCACAAAUGCAUAAUAUUUGCCAUUUAGACUAGCAUAUCUAGAUGGCCCAAAUAGAUCUAUGUGAAGGAGUUCAAGUGGUUUUGAAGUAGAAAUAUGGUUUUUAUUUUUGAAAGAAGUUUUGAUUUGUUUUCCAAAUUGACAAGCUUCACAAAUCUUAUCCUUUUGAAAAAUAAUUUUCGGAAGACCUUUAACUAAAUCAUUUUUCGAAAUUUUUGAAAUCAAAUCCAUACUUGCAUGUCCUAACCUUCUAUGCCAUAGCCAACUAUCAUCAUGUAAUGCGGAAAAACAUUUAUCAAUAGUAGAUGCACAUUCUAUGUCAACGAUAUAAACAUUACCACAUCUAUUACCAAUAAAAAAAAUUUUGCCAUCACAUGAGUUCUCAAUAACACAACUAAAUUUAUCAAAGAUAAUUUUAUAACCUUUGUCACAUAAUUGACUAAUGCUAAUUAAGUUGUGUUUCAAGUUCUCAACCAAACAUACAUUCUCAAUUAGAGUUGAAGAGACUUUACCAACAUUUCCAAUUCCAAGAAUUUUUCAUUUUGAGUUGUCUCCAAAUGAUACGUCUCCACCAUCUUCAAUUUUGGUGAAGCUUGAGAACCAUGCAUAGUUUCCGGUCAUGUGCCUUGAACAACCGCUGUCCAAAUACCAUUUAUUUUUCUUCUUCUUUAAGCCCUACAAAGAAAAUCUUAAGUUUUAGGUACCCAAAACUUUUUGGGUCCUUGAGAGUUAGCAACGGUUCCUUUUGGAACCCAAAUACAUUUGACACCAUAAUAUGCAUUCCUUUUCACGGGAUAUCUAUAUUUCAUGUGACCAUUUUGAUUACAAUAAUGACAGACAAUCUUAUGAUCACUUAUGGAGGUAGCUUUAACAAAAUAAUUCUUAUAAUACUUUUGCUUCAAGUUAGGCUUAUAUCCAAGUCCUCCUUUAUCAAAAACACAUUUUUGUGAGUUAAGCAUAUUAUCCAACAUCUUUUGCCCAUUUGUAAAUUUCAAAACAAUUUUAUUCAACUCAUUGCUCUUUUUCUUGAGCAUUUCGUUUUCAUUUUUCAAAUCAUCUAUGUGUGAUUCUAAAUGCUCAUGUAAGAUACUAGGUUUCUCAUUUGAUAAUACAAUUUCAUUAUGCAAUGUUUUGUUCUCUACUUCUAGGCAUGCAAUUUUUGCAUUUAAAGAUUCAUUUUCAUUUUUAACUUUUGCCAUUUCCUUUUUAAGACAUACAUUCUUUUUACCAAUCUUCAUCAACUCAUUAUGCAAUUCUUUAAAAGCAUCAUACAAUUCAUCAUAGGUGGGAUCACUUACCUCAUUGAGAUUAUCAUCCUCUCCUAUUGCCAUAAGCGCUAGGUUUGAUACUUCUUGCAAUCCUUCGUCAUCACUUGAAUCUUCCUCGCUGUCAUCAUACGUUGCAACCAUGGCUUUCUUCUUGAGUUUGUUGAUAAGUGGGCACUCCGAUCUUAUAUGGCCAGACUUCUUGCACUCAUAGCAUGUGAUCAUCUCUUUCUUCUCCCUUUGGUUCUUGAAGUUUCUGAAUUUUCUUCGCUCUCCAGUUUUCUUAAAAAACUUUCUGAAUCUCCUUGCUAGCAUGACUAACUCUUCAUCAUCCGGUUCACUACCUCCAUCACUCUCAUAUUUUGAAGUUUUGAGAGCAAUGCUUUUCUUCUUCUCCUCAUCACAUUUUUCUGCUGCCAAGUCUUCUUCAUAUGAAAUAAGAGAACCAAUUAAAUCAUCAAGAGGUAAAGUAUUUAAAUUUUUGGCCUCUUCAAUGGCAGUUCUUUUAGGUCUCCAUUCUUUUGGAAGUGACCUAAUGAUUUUCUUAACUUUCUCAUUAUUUUAGAAGGUCUUCCCUGAGGCACCUAGAGUGUUCACUAUGUCCGUGAAUCUAGUAUACAUAUAAUACACAUUUUCAUUUUGUUCCAUUUGGAACAACUCAUAUUGACGAGUGUAUCUACUAAUUUUAGACUCUUUAACUUGAUUUGUCCCUUCAUAAACAACUUCAAGUUUAUUCCAUAUUUCUUGUGCACUUUCACAACUAGAUACUCUAUGGAAUUCUUUCUUAUCAAGGGCACAAAAUAAAGCAUUCAAAGCCUUGGAGUUUAGAGACAUUUUUCUCUUUUCUAACUCACUCCAUUGACUUGAUGGUUUAUGAAUAUCAUCUCCUACUUCAUCUUUAAACAUAGGCAUGAAUGGACCAUCAUAAACAACUUCCUAAAAUUCAUAAUCUAAGGCUUGCAAAUAGAUUCUCAUCCUAGUUUUCCAAUAAGCAUAGUCAUUACCAUCAAAGAACGGUGGUCUAGUUGUAGAUUGCCCUUCUCUAAAGGUUGAGUCAUUUAGGGUUGCCAUGGAUCUUUUGCUCUAGACGAUUAAGUCCUAACAAGAGAACAAGGCUCUGAUACCAAAUGAAAUACUAGUUAUGCAACCCAAGAGGGGGGUGAAUUGGAAUUCUAAAAAAUUAUUCAAUUUUUAAUUUAAAGCUUAAUGUAGAUAUGAAACAAAUUCAAAGCAAUAACAAAUAAGUUAACCACAAUAAAAAGGAUAAAGGAAGAGAGAUUCAAACACUGAGAUUUUUACGCGGUUCGGCCAACCUUGCCUACGUCCACGCCUCCAAGCUUUCCGAGCUUGAGGAUUCCACUAAGCAAGCCUCCAAGGCUUCAAAUGCUUACACUUGACUUCGAAGGUGUCAAUGACCUUUACAACAAGAGAUUAUCCCAAUCUCUUAACCCAAGUGUAUCCCAACACUUACAAUCACUCAAAGAUAAAAGAUUAAAAACUUGUUUUGCCUCUCACAAUAUUUAAGAUGACAAAAUAAUACCCAAUAUGUGAAUAGAUGAAGUAAGAAUGUAUUUAAAGCUUAAUGAAGAUUGUAUUAUCAAGUAUAAGCUCAGUAGUCGUGUUGUGAUUAAUCCUUGUUUAAGUUUGAAUGAGCUCAUUUAUAGCUGCAGCUGAAAACUAGCCAUUAUUGACUUUCUGCACACUGUCGGAUCGCCGUUAGCUAGAUGUCAGAUCGUCGUUUGACUGGUUAAUAUGACCGUUGGGCUAAUUUUUCAAAUUGUCGGAUUACCGUUAUCUAGAUGUCGGAUCACCGUUUAGGUCCAGAGGCUAACCUUCAGUUCUGUUUGAUCUCGGCGAGCCGUUUAUUAAACUUGUCGGAUCACCGUUUAGGUCCAGAGGCUAACCUUUAAUUCUGAUUGAUCUCGGCGAGCCGUUUAUCAAAAUUUUUGGUUCGCCGUUUAGGUCCAGAGACUAAUCUUUAUUUCUGUUUGGUAUCGGUGAGCCGUUUAUUAAACUUGUCGGAUCGCCGUUUUCCACAAAAACUGCUGCAUUGAACUAUUUUGCAAGACAAUUGUUUUGUAUGUAAAUCUUUAUAAAAAUACUUUAUGAAACUUGUCAAAAUAGAUGAAAAUUAUGUUGAGCUUUUAAAAGAUUAAUCAAUCUUAAUCAUGUUUGUUAUCAUCAAAAUCAAUAAGGAAUUAUUUAUGUUAACAAAUCACAUUGUGCCAGAAGCAAUACAAGCUCAAAGCAUAACAGCACGAAAAUUGCAAAGAGGGAAAAUCAAAGUGUAAUAGAGCAUAAAUUGUAAAGAGAAAAGCCGAGACUCACAAAUAUUCACAGUGGCAGCUGAAGUAUAUGCUGAUGAACACAGAACACAGCCGCGACGGAGUGAGAGAUCAGACGAGUGAUGCUGAUGAGUGAUGAAACGAACAAAGCCUCACCGUGAAGGUGAUGACAAGCCACGCCGCAAAGGAUCUGAUCUGAUCUGAAGAAGAGAUUACAUGAGAGUUGCAGAGAGAGUGAGAGAGAUUAAGUGACGAUGGAGGACUGAGGAAUGAGUCACGGCUCACGGGUGAGAGAGAUUGAGAGAGGAACAAAUUACGGAUGAGACUUGAGAGAUUGAGAGGAGAAAUUACAGAUUUACAGUAAUUGUUUUUAAGUUAAAAGAGAAAUUUCGAGAGAGGAUCAGAGGAACGAGAGAGAUCUAUGGUUCACUUUUGUUUUUUUUUUAAUUUUUCUAUUUAUAUUUACGGAUUUACGGAUCAAAAUUAAUAUUAAAAUAAAUAAUAUUCGAGUCUGGGUUCCGAAUUUGGGGGUUCACCUGAAGCUAGAUCCGGACCCGAAAAAUGCGGGUUGUCAAAAACUGAUCCGGAUUCGGAUAAAAACUAUUUCGGUGCGGGUCGAACCUGGACCAGAAUUUUUGGAUUCAAUCCGAGUCCGAUCCGGGUUCGGGUUUGGUUGCCAUCCCUAGUUGUACCUUACCACAACCCUUGUCUUUUAUCAAAUAGUUAAUGUAAAAUUUCAUUGAACCCUUUAUACUUUAUUUUAUUUAUAAUUAUUUUGUAAGUAUUGAAAAGAAAAAAUUAUCCUCAAAUUUUAUCUUCAAUAUAUUUUUUUCCCGUUUCUUCUUCUGCUCUCUCACUUUCUCUCUGUAAUGGGUUUAAUGAUGGCUUCAAUAUUGGUCAAGAUUGCUGACCGAUUUGUGGAUAAUUAGUUGUAGGUCAUUGAUUGUUUGUGUGAUGGUUCUCGUGGUGGAAAAUAUAGGCAUCAAAACAAAAUCCUCAAUUUGAUCUGAGAAGCCGAAGUGAGAGUGAGAGAAAGCGAAAUGGCGAUGGCAAGGUGAGCUCAAGCCUUGCUUAUCCAGAGUGAUUAUGUGUUGCAGCUUCAAAUUGUGGCUUCGAUGGAUCUCCGAUUUCCUCUGUCUGUCAUGGUGGGGUUGUGGUGCAGCUGACGUGAUGUUGUUUCGAGAGAGGAAAGAUAAGGCUGACAUGGGUCAAAGUUGUCGGUCGUGGUGCGACUGUGCUAUCUUGCCGACGUGGAGCAGUGUGGUGGCAACCGGUAACAGGUAGCUUCACAAUAUGGGUAUUUGGGUUGAGAGCAGACUGGAGAGAUGAAGCCAUAAUGGUUUCUUUUGAAUUUGAUUUUGGAUUGAUUUUGUUUGGAUGUCACGUGUGUGGGUAUUUGGGUUAUUUUCAUUUAGUGUUGGUUUUUUUUUAAUUAUAAGUUAUGAAUAGAUCGAUUUUGUAAUUAACCACUAGAAUCCCUACUCGUAUUGUUGAAAAUUUUGUUGAUGAUGAGUUUUUUUUUUUAAACCAACAAAUACUUCAAUUCCAUUCAAGAUGGAAACUCUACUCAGUAUCAGUAACUGGGCACAAAAUGGAAAAUCUCAAAAAAAAGGGAUAAGAUUUUAAUAUUCCACAAGCUAAAACAAAGGUACCAAAAUCAGUUGCAUAUCUUCUUUCAAAUCAUUAAUGACCCAAUUCCCAGGUAAUUCAGAGGUAGAAUAUCUACUUGCUGCGCUUGGCUGCACGCUUCCCUUGGCCUUUCUCGGGAGGUCCCUUUCCACAACGUUUCAACAUUUCAAGCUUGGGUAAGCGCUCUUGUUCUUGGCGGGCCAUGACGAGAACUUACCAUCAAUGAGCUUCUUCCACAAAAUCUUGUUGGGUGAUCUCUGGCCAGUGGGAUUAAGUACAUACCCAAAUAUCUUAGCCCUCACCUCAGUUAGCCUUGUGGUCACUAUUGUGGCCAAAAUGUUCUUAAGCCUCUCUCAUGUAGCCAUCAUCACUCGCAACUCUACCUGAUUAGCUCUGUUGAUAAUGAGUUAACUUUGUCAAUGAUCAGUGAUGAGAGAUGAGUUAAUCUUAAUUUCUACAAAAUUUUUUAAUGCUAAUCUAAGGAUAUUUUUGUCUUUUCAUUAAUAUUAAUGUGUUAUGAUUAUUAAUGUAGCGUGGUUGAAAAUAAAAACUCAUUUAAUACUUAUAAAUAAAUAAAUAAAUAAAGUGUAAGGUGAUAAAUUAAAUUUUGAUAAUGUAGGUAAGUAUAAAGUAUUAUAAUAUUUUAUGAUAAAUUAUAAAUAAAAUAGAGUGUAAGGGAUUCAAUGAAAUUUUACAUUAAUUAAUUCACAAAAGACAAAGACUGUGGUAAGGUACAACCGUGGCAACAUAGGCAGACCCUAAAAACAAAUCAUUAUUUUUUUUUUUGAAAGGAAACUUCCAUUAAAUCGAAGAGGAAAAUAGAUACAUCAAUUGUGAAGGGUAAGAACCCAUCCAAACAACAUUUUCACAUUUCUCUAAUGCUAACUUAGCUAGAAAGUGGGCAAUGACAUUACGAGAUCUAUGAGUAUAAUUAAUGCUAACUAGCUCAAAGUUCCUCAUUAAGUUUUGAAUCUCCGAAAUUAUCCAAAAGAUCUCAGACUUGCCGCCUUGCUUGUUGUUAACUAACUUGACUACGCUUUGAGCGUCUGAUUCAACAAUUAAAGCCUUUGCACUUGCAUUCCUAGCAAUCUGUAAUCCCCAUUCCAAGGCUUCUGCUUCAGCAAAGGAAACAUCUCCAUAAAAUUUCGAAAUCUUGAUUGCAGCUGCUAUGACAUUCCCCCGAUCAUCUCGGAUUAUAGCUCCCAGCCCUGCAAGAUGCUUUUCUGAGCUUGUAGCAGCAUCCACAUUGACUUUAACAGAUCCACUUUGGGGGGGAUUCCAAAUCUGCUGAGUCUGCACCUGCUGACUUUCCUUUCGAGCUUGCUCUGGUUUUUGAACUCUUUUGUAAGCCUCCAUUACUGCUUCAGCUUUAGCAACCAGAGUCUAGGGGUUCUCUCUUUUUCCUUUAAAAAGCAUCUCAUUUCUUGCAUUCCACACCAUCCAACAAAUCAUAACCAUUAGUUCUAAAUCAGCUUUGUUUCUUCUGCUGUACAUUUCAUGCAGCAAACUCAAAAAAUCCUGCCCAGCAGUUUGCAUGAUGUCAUUCUCUAAUAGAGUGAGUCUCCAUAUUUUCCUUGCAGCUUUACACUCUACCAAUGCAUGAAACACAUUCUCCACUCCGAGCUUGCAUACUUGGCAGGUAGGCUCUUGGAUAACUUUUCUCUUCCAUAAAUUUUCAGCAGAUGAGAGAAUAUUCUUGGCUGCCCUCCAAGCAAAAAUUCUGAUUUUCUCAGGUAAAGCAAGAGUCCAUAUGAUAUUCCAUUGAUUUUUUCCUGACAUUGAACUUGAAGGCAUGGCUGGAAGUUUAAGACUAAGGGCUGUUUGAUUGCCACUCUUGACCGAGUAGAGACCUUUCUUGUCAUAAUGACAGGUGAUUGUAUCUUCUUUUGGGCUUCAAGGCAAAGGGAUUUCAAUAAUUUUAUCAGCAUCCAUUCUAUUGAAAUGCCUGUAUAUCAGGCUCUCAUUCCACUGGUUUUCUUCAUUUAUCAGCUCAGCAACCAAUGUAUCUUCUGGCAAAGAUGGCCUAACUAUUGGCUUGAAGGUUGACAGCUUCAGGAUCCAGUUAUCUUUGUGAAUUUGGAUUUUUUGGCCAUCUCCAAUUCUCCACCUUGCACCAGAACUGAGAUUCUGUCUUCCUCAUAGGAUGCUUCUCCAUACAAAUGAUAGUGUGGACCCGAGCUUAGCCUUCAUGAAGUCUUUAUUUUGGAAAUACCUAGCUUGUAGAACCUUUGCCACUAAUGAAUCCGAGAAUUGUAAUAUCAUCCACCCUUGCUUAGCCACUAGAGCUUGGUUGAAACUUGAAAAGUCUCGGAAACCCAUGCCUCUUUUACAUUUGGCCUGACUCAGCUUCUCCCACUUCGACCAGUGGAUGCUUCUUUUGUCGCUCUUUGAUCCCCACUAAAAGUCAGCCACAGUUUUUUGGAUAUCAUUGCAAACACUCAUUGGGAUCUUGAAUACACUCAUGGCAUAGGCUGGAAUGGCUUGCGCUGCAGCUUUGAUUAAAACGUCUUUGCCCCCACAUGAGAAGAAUUUGUGCUGCCAGCUGGAGAUUUUGUUAAAGACUUUCAGUUUGAUGUCAUUAAAGAAGUUGCUCAUUUUUCUUCCUAUCAUAGCUGGUAAGUCUAGAUACUUCUCGUGCCUUGAGCCAAUAUUAAGCUGAAAAAUCUGUCCAAUUACAGUGGCUCGAUCAUGCUGGACAUUGCCACUCAGGAACAGAGAUGAUUUCUCAAAAUUAAAAAUUUGCCCGAAAGCUGCUGAGUAGCAAUCAAGUAUCUUUUUCAGGUUCCCACAAUCGGCCAUUGAAGCUCGGCUAAAUAUAAGGCUAUCAUCAACGAACAAGAGGUGGGAAAUGUUCAACUCCUUUCUAAAAGACAGCCCAUGGAUGAGUUUCUGUUGUUCGGCCUGCAGCAACAAAGAGGAAAAGACCUCUGCACAAGUAAUAAACAAGUAAGGGGACAGGGGGCACCCUUGCCGUAAACCUCUCUGGGGCUUUAUUAAUCCUCUGACCGAGCCAUUUAUAAUCAAAGAGAAAGAAACAUAGCUUAUACACUUCAUGACCAAGCAAAUCCAGUUUUGAGAAAACCUCAUACAUUUCAUAGUUUGCUCAAUAAAACUCCAUUCCAAUCUGUCGUAAGCCUUACUAACAUCAAGUUUCAAUGCCACUAACCCAUUUUUUCUCCCUUUGCAGUGCCUUAUUUUAUGUAAACAUUCAUAUCCUACAAUAACAUUGUCGGUUAUCAAUCUAUCAGGUAUAAAAGCACUUUGAAUUGGAGAGAUGAUUUGGUGCAGAAUUUGUUUGAAUCUGUUGGCAACUGACUUAGCCAUUAUCCUAUAGAUAACAUUGCAAAGGCUGAUAAGCCUAAAGUCUGUAACUUUUCUAGGUUUCCCCUUCUUAGGAAUCAUGGCUAUGUAAUUAUAAUUAAGGGGGGCUAGAGUACCUUGAUUGUUUAAGAUGUGAAGACAGGUAGUAAGAACUCCCUCUUUGACCUCAUUCCAGUGCUUUUGGUAAAAAGCUGUUGGUAGCCCAUCGGGCCCCGGUGCCUUGGUUGGGCACAUUUGAUUUAAGGCUUCAGUCACUUCCUCCGCUUUAAAAGGUUUCUCUAACGACUCAUUCAUGUCCUCGGAUACUCUCGGGGUGAUACCUUUUAGCGCUGCUUUCAUCUGGUUUUGACUUGGCUUGGUUGUUGUAAAUAGCUUUGUGAAAUAGUUGCAGAAUUCAGCCUCCACAUCUCUGGCUUUCUUUAACCAAUCCCCUGAGCUAUUUUCAAUCCCCCAAAUUCUGUUCUUUUUCUUUCUAUUCGACACUUUAUGAUGGAAGAACUUUGUGUUCUUGUCCCCUUCCUUGAGCCAAUCUGCUCUUGAGCGUUGCUUCUAGUAAAUCUCCUCAUCAAUGAUGAUAUUUAUAAUCUGAUUUUCCACCAUUUUAAUCUUUUCUCCAGAUUCGUACUGCACCCCUCUCUGCUUCCAUCCUUGAAGCUGCUUUUGUAACUGCUCUAGCUGUUUUUCCCUUCCUUUGAAUUCCCUCUUGCUCUAGUUUAGAAGUCUAGCCAUUGAUUCUUUAGCAAUCUUUCGAAACAAAUAAACUGGAUUGCCACUCUGCCAAUUGCUAUUCAAGCUCCAUUCCUCGUUAACUAUCUCCUUACAAGCCUCAUACGGACUCCACAUAUCCUCAUAAUGAAUUCGUGAGGAUUGUCUCCUACUCGCAGCCAUUUCCUCUCCCCUCUCUUGAACCAUCAUCAGCACUGGACAAUGGUCUGAGGUCCAUGUGUUCAGGUUGAUUACUGCAUCAUUGACAAAAAUAUCACACCAGGCUCUGUUGCAAACAAAACGGUCCAACCUUUCCUCUAUAAAUCUCUGUCCAAACCUCCCAUUACUCCAAGUAAAAGGGUAACCCUUAUACCCUACAUAUGCUAAUUCACAAUCUCUCAAAGCCUGCCUGAAGCUAUUAAUUAAGUUGACAUUUCUCUCAUUGCCUCCGCUCUUCUCAUGAGGAUGCAGAAUUUCAUUGAAGUCUUCGAAACAUAACCAAGGACUAGGAGACAAACCUACCAACCUUCUCAAAAGUGACCAUGUAUGUUGUUUCUGCCCCAUUUCCGGAUGCCCGUACACCCCUGUGCAUCACAUUUGCCUCCCAUUGGCCAUCUGAACUUCAGCAUCUAUGUGAUGCUUGCUGAACGAUUUAAUUUGUACACAAGUUUCUUCAUUCAAAGCAAAGAUAAACCCCCUCCCCUUCCACUACAGCUCACGGCAAAACAAUUAUCAAAUUUUAACUUUUUUCCAGUCACAUUCAUUUGCGUGGUUGACAGCUUGGUUUCACACAAAAAUACCAGUUGAUGACCAUGCAUAUGGAGGAUUUGUUUAAGUACUAGAAACGCUCGGGGAUUCCCCAAACCCCAAACGUUCCAUGAGAUGAUCUUCAUGGCUUUCGGCGGGGCUGGCUUCCAGCCUCCGCCGAUAUCUCUGCUAUGGUUGAAUCCAUGUCCACCAUAUUUUCCAACAUCAAUGGUUCCCAGCUCAAUUUAACUUUUGCCGCUGGAGAAUGGUGCCCCUGCUUCUUUGUUUCUGAUUUAAUUGGACUAGAGAGCUUUGCUUUCUUUUUCGGGCUUUGUCCCAUUGCCUCUCUACUUGUUCGUUUAUGAGCUCCCAGCCCCAUUUUGGAUUCUCUUCCAUUUGGCUCUCUAGCUCGUCUCUUCCAUUUUCUUUUUGUGGGCCUUGCUUGAGUAAUUUCCGGCCCAUUAUCUAUUUUAGCUUCCUCCAUUUCUUUCAAAUUUGUCUUGAACUUUUCCCUCUCUUUCUCCAUCCCAUCUCCUGCCAAUAUUCCCCCUUCUCUAGGAAUUAUUUCAUUGCUGAUAUUCCCACCUUGCUUUUUGCCGCCCAUUUGCUUUUCUUUCAUCGAUUCUACCACUCCUUUCAUUAAAUUCUGCUCACCUACUCCUUCCACCUCAUCAAUCUUGGUAGUCUCCAUGGUUUGACCCGUUUUUUCGCUUAUGGGUUCUGACCCACUUGUUCUAAUCGGGUUGUCCUGGCUUUGUUGUUGUUGUUGCCGGUGGAUUCUGUUAUGCUCUGAACUUUCUUAUUUUUCUUUUGAUCUACUCCCUUCAUAAUUCCAUCUCUCAUUGUUGCGAUUCUUCCUUGAACGACCUCCUACGAUAAUUGCUUUCAUCCACCCACCGUAUGGUAGUUGCUCUUUUUGCUGUCCCUGAAAUUUGGCACACUCUUUGUAUUGAUGCCCAAUGAUGCCACAACAAUAACAGAAAUCUAGUAGUCGCUCAUAGACCACUAGCAUUGGAAUGUCUGAUUCACCUUCUUGUUUAAGGAAGAGUAUUUUCUUCAACGGCAGUGUUAUAUUGAUUAAUACCCUUAUUCUCGCAAAUUCGCCAAGGCAUUCUCCAUUUUCAUCUGUCUCAAUCUCCUCCACUGCCCUAAUCAUUCCUCCCAAUUCUUGGAGCAAUUCUUUCUCCAUGCAUACAAUCGGGACGUUGCGAAUCUGUAUCCAAAAGGUUGUGUGGAUAAAGUAUUGCUUUGUCAGCUCCCCUAUUCCUUUUGGUUCAGUAAGAACAAUUAAUGCUCUAUCAAAAUGCCAAGGACCUCCUGUUAAUACUCUUUUUUUAUCCGCUUCUUCUGUAAAUUUAAACAUAAAGCAAUUGUUCCCUAAGCUUUCAAUUUUAACCUCUUUUACAGUUCGCCACACUUGCUGCAAUGCACUCUUAAAUCCCUCCUUGUUGACUGCUCUUGUGAGGAGGACUUUGCCCACUAAGCAUCUUGCCAACAUUUUCCCCCUUGUGGCUUUCAUGUUCACCUCUAGUGACAUAUUGGUUUUGUCUUCCUCUCUUAUAGUUAUUGCGUUGCAUUUACGGAUUAGCUCGUCUGUAUCCAUGGCACCACAGGCUACAUGAUAUGGAUACAAUAGUGCCCCAUGUAUGACCCCUUGCCUUCUCUGCUCUCCCCAACUCUGAUUAGUAUAAUACUCAAACAAUCACCGAGAAUAAGGAAACGCUAAAGCUAAAAGAAAAACUUAACCCUGAAAGCACUCACUUCGGAGUGACCAUUGAGUCAUUAAGACCCUUUAAAGCUUCCAUUCCAGCUUCUCUGUCAUAGAGAGAGCGUUUGAAAGAAUAUUGUGCAAUUUAGUAACAAAAACAAAUCAUUAUUGAGUGUGAACAGACUUAUUGAUCACCCAAUUUUCAAACUUGUCAUCCUUAUUGAAUAUGCAUUCCCUUUUAAAAAAUUUUAAAAAAGGUACAAAUAAUGAAACAAAGUUUUGUUCCUUCAACAGUUGAUAGAGUUACGCAGCUUCAACUUGCAAGUGCUGUCGGCAUUUUCAAACUUGUAAGACCCUUCAACUUGCUUUCCUAGAUAGCUAUAAUUAAUAAUGACAACAGUCUCCCUUAUAGUGGCUAGUGAGCAACUUGUUUCGUGAAAUUAACGGUAUCUUCUCUCACAUUUUUUAAAAAAUUGAAUUAUAUAACCCACCAAAACUAUAAAGAAUUGUUAGUUUUUCUUCAUUAAAAUUAAUAUAUUGCUCCUCAUAUUGCAAAAUCAAAAUUCAGAAUAAGAAUGAUUGAUACUGUUUAUUUAUUAAAAUGAAAAUAAAAUAUAUGAAGCCUACAUAUUUUUGAAAUUAGAAAACAAGAACUUUAUUUUCCAUGGGGAGUGUUGGGAAUCAAGUUCUCAUUAUUUAAACUCUCAAUUGUACCUCACCGAAAUUUCAUAAUUUCACUUUUGUUCGCAAUUAAAAUAUUAUUAUAGUUAUUAUUCUUAUUUUUAUAGUUGUUGUUGUUGAUGAUGAUGAUGAUGAUGAUGAUGAUACAAGAUAAUAAAAUUAAUGAUAAUUAAACCAAUUUGAAUUUAGAGUGAGUGAGUACUAGGGGUGUUCAGAAUCCAAUCCGAUUCGCUCAAUCCGUCCGAUCUGCUCAAUCUGAUUCGUAUAAAUCCAAUCCGUGGAUUGGUGGAUUGGAUAUGGAUUGAAAAUUUAAAAAUCCGCAGUCGAUGGAUUGGAUAUGGAUUUACUUAUGUAAAUCCGCAGAAACCGUGAAUCCGCAAAAUAUAUAUAUAUAUAUAUAUAAUUAAAAAAUUAUUAUAAAUUUAAUUUUAAAAAAAUUAUAAAUGUGACAUUACAUAGUUACAUAAGCACUAUAACAUAUCUUAGCCAUUACUCAAUAAUAAUAUAAAAUGAAAAAUAAUUAAAUAAUCAAAUAUACAAAUAUAACUUGUAAAAAUUAUAAAACAAAAUAAAAGUAAAGUCACACGCACUAGCAAAAGCAAAGUAACAUAACGCCAAGUCACCAACAAUUUACAAAGUCACUCAAAAGCAAAGUAACAUGACGUUAAGUCACCAAUAAUUUGCAAACAAAAAACCCUAAGCUUCCCCGCCGUCACACACACUAGCAACACUCAAUACUGGUUGGAUACACUCUCGACACGGAUUUGAAGGACAUCGGCCGCGCGAUUCCGGCGAGAGCAAUCCAAUUUCUUUCCCAAGUCCAUUGAGCCACUUCACAUUCACUGGUUCCAGCUGAAUAAUUUCACUAUCACAACCUUCAAGAUCGCCACCCGUACAGCUUCUCCUGGUUCCCAUCGUGGACGGCUCCGUAAUCACCACUUUUCGACAGGCGCAACAGCCCUGGUGAAGGAUCAGACUGUGUUUGGUUUCCGAAACUUCACCAUUUCAAUUAAUUGUGGCUCUAUUUGAACAAUUAAUUUCGGUGUUAUAUUAACGUAUUAUUGUAACUUUAUUUGAACAAUUAAAUUUGGUGUGUUAUAUUUUGAAACUUUGAACGUAUUAUUAUAGCUUUAUUUGAAUAAUUAGUCUCGAUGUGUUAUAUUUUCAAACUUUAAAUGUAUUAUUUUAGCUUUAUUUAAAUAAUUUAUUUAUUUAAAUUUUAUUCAAUUUUAAAUUUAAUUGGUAGCAAAAUUAUUUUUAUAUUAUAUAUUUUUUUAUUUCAUUAGUUGGAGAGAACUAAAAAUUUUUAAUUCGAAAACUAAUGCGCAAAAUGGUGGAUUGGAUAUGGAUUUAGUCAAAUCCGCAUUCGAUCCGCAGACGUAUGGAUUGGAUAUGGAUUAAGUCAAAUCCGCAUCCGAUCCGCAGAUGUAUGGAUUGGAUUUGGAUUGAAUUUUAUCAAUCUGUGGAUUGGAUUGGAUUGGAUUGGAUUGAAAAAUUAUAAUCCGCAAAAUCAUGGAUCGGAUAUGGAUUGAUGUCCAAUCCGUUAAAUCCGAUCCGCGAACACCCCUAGUGAGUACCAUGAGUUCGCAUCAUUUGAUAUCAAAUGAGCAUCAUUACUAACUAAUAUAGGUUCGAUCGAAUUCAUCAUACGAAGUAUAUUAUCGGCUGUAGGUAUGGAAAUAAUUUUGUAUCCACAAACACUAUUUUUCAAAAUAUUUUAAGACUUAACUUAGCAUUUUUUAACCAUACAUGUAUAGGUUGUUUGACCUAUUUUAAAUAAUGGAGAUUACAACAAAUGAACAGAUGUGGAUUAGUAGUGUUGUUGAGUUCAAAAGAUUGAAGUUAAGAAAAGGGUUUCUUGAUCCAGAGAAAAUUCAAAAGAGCGAAGUGUCUUCGAGAUCAGAAGACGAAAUAAGGAAAGGGUAAGGUUUAUACUUUCAAAAUGAAUAUGUUGACAGAUCUUUGAAGAUUAUUUUCAUUAACAGUUGGAUCCCACACUUGAGUCUUUGUAGUCUCAGUCAGUCAGCUAUAAAGAUAAAUUAAUUUUGAGCGUGAAAGGGCUCAAUUGAUCACCAAAUUUUCGAACUUAUGAUCCUUAUUGAAUCUGCAUUCCCAUUUGAAAAACAAAAAAAAGAUUAACAUUAAUUUAACUUCAUCUAGAUUCCCAUUUGAAUCUGCAUUCUCAUUCCGUUCUUUGGGAAUGCGCAUAAUCAAACAAAAUCAUGUCCGCAUUUUCAAACUUGUGACCCUUCAAGCUUUCUAUAACAGCUAUAAUGAAUAAUUACAACAGUGCUACGUAAUAGUGAGCAACUUGUUUGAUGAAAUUAACAGCUUCUGUUCUCUCAUGUAUUUUUAAAAAAUUGAAUUAUCAAAGUUUUUAUUUCAAAAUUAGUGCUAUAGUUCAUUAACUUUUCAAAUUUUCUUUUUUCUUUCCACACAACAAAUUGAUUUUCCCUCCAAAAAAUGUAUUAAAUUGUUUAAUAUUGUAACUUCAAAAACUUAUAAUGAAUUUUUAAAGAGAUAAAUAGAGAAUGUCAAUCUCCCAUCUACUCAAAAUUAAUAUAUAUCAUUAACUCCUGAUUAUUUUUAUAACAACUAAUAACUUUCUGGGUAGCAUAAUUUUACAGUAUCAUCCUUGUUUGUAAGUAUAUUUUUAUUCACAUUUAUUAUAAAUUAAUUAAAUCAUAUCAAUGAAAAUUGAAAUAAAAAUUGAAGUACUAAAAAAAAUGUUUUGGUGUGAAUAAAAAAUUGAAAAUAAAAAUAUUUUUCUUAUAUUUUUUAUUUUUAAAUGUUUUUCUUUUAAUAAAUAUAUAUUUUAUAUUCUCAAAUUGAAUUAUUGAGUAAAUGACUCAUUUAUUCACUUUUUCUUUUAAUUUUUGUUAUUAGGAGGAUUUUUAGAUAUAAUGAAAAUUGUAAGGUAGUAAGUAAUAUAUAAUAAUUUUAAUAGAGAAAAAUAAAAAAUCUGUUAUUUUAAAAUAUAAAGAGAAAAAUAAUUAAUUUCAAAACAUUUUAGAAGAUAUUUCAAUAUGCGGUGGACCACAAACUCGAGUCUUUGUCAUCUCAGUCAACUAAAAGGACAUAUGCUAUAAUGUCCCUCUUCCCUCACAUAUUAAACCAAUGUGAUCUCAGAGUGAGUUUGCAUCGAAGGAGUAUCCUUACUAACUAAUAUAGGCUCGAUCAAUAGAGAUGACAAUAAUUUUUUUUAUCUACGAACAUUAUUUUUUCAAAAUAUUAUAUCUUUAGACUUAACUAAAUAUUUUUUUCACCAUGUAUGUAUAGUUUGUUUGAUCUCUUUUAAAUAGUGGAGAUCACAACAAAACAAAUGCGAAUUAGUAGUGAUGGUGAGUUCAGAAGAUUGAAGUUAAGAAAAUUAAGGGUUUCUUGAUCCGGAGAAAUUUCAAAAGAAUGAAGCGUCUUCGAAAUCAAAAGACAAAAAUAAAGAAAGGGUAAUGGUGUAAUUUUGAAAGUGAAUUUAUUGAGAGAUCUUUGAAGAUUUACUUCCGUUAAGACUUAGAUCCCGCACUCCUAAGCCUUUGUCGGCCCAAUCACUCAACUGUAAAGACAUUUUCUUGUUGAGUGUGAACAGACAUAUUGAUCACUAAAUUUUCAAACUUGUGAUCCUCGUUGAAUCUGAUUCCCCUUUGAAAAAUUAAAAAAAAGUGCAAAUAAUGAAACAAAAUUUUGUUCCUUAACAGCAAGUGUUGUCGGCAUUUUCAGACUUGUAACAAGGGAAUGCGGUCCUCUCCUGAACCCGAAUCUCAUUCCCUGUGACAAGACCCUUGUUACCCUUCAACUCGCUUUCUAAGAUAGCUAUAAUUAAUCGUGACAACAUUACUCUCAGUGAGCAAAAGUUAACAGCAUCUUCUCCCCAUUUUUUAAAAAAUGUAUUAUAUAACCCACCAAAACUAUAAAGAGUCUUUUCUUAUUAAAAUUAAUAAAUUACUCUUUAUAUUAAAUAAUUAAAAUUAAAAUUAAAAUUUAAAAUGAAAAUGAUUUAUUUAUUAAAAUAUAAAUAAAAUAUAUAAAGUUCAUAUGUUUUUUAAAUUAAAAAAUAAGAACUUAAUUUCAUUCCUUAAAUUCUCAAAUUUACCUCACAAAAAUUUCGUAAGCUCACUUUUGUCCUUAAUUAAAAUAUGAUUAUGUUAUUAUUAUGGUUAUUAUUCUUAUUUUUGUAAUAGUUGAUGUUGUUGUUGAUGAUGAUGAUAAUACAUAUAAUAAAAUUAAUAAUAAUAAAAAUAAUAACUAUAAUUUUAACAACAGCAAUAAUAAUCAUUAAUAUUAUUGUUGUUGUUGUUGUUGUUCUUCUUCUUCUUCUUCUUCUUCUUCUUCUUCUUCUUCUUCUUCUUCUUCUUCUUCUUCUUCUUCUUCUUCUUCUUCUUCUUCUUCUUCUUCUUGUUAUUAUUAUUAUUAUUAUUAUUAUUAUUAUUACUAUCCUAUUAUAAUAAUAUUAUUAAAUAAUUAUUUUGAAUAAUAAUAAUCACAAUUAUUAUAACAAACGACAAAAAUCAACUAAAGUAAUUUUAAUAACUUGUAAGAAUUCAUUUUUAUUCAUGGAUAUGUGAUUAUUUGUUAAUGUAUGCAAUUAAUUGUGAUGGUAAACAAAGAAUAUAUGGUAUAUUUUCAAGUUAAAAAAGAAAAACAAAACAAAGUUUUUACCAUUUCUUGCCUUAUCAUCUUUUAAAUUAGAGUUAUUAUUCUUUUUAUUUUUCAAGUUGCCAACUCAUCCGCAUUCUCUUUUAUUGAAUUUGAAGAUCGAUGAUCAUAAAUUUGUGUAAAAAUUUUAAGUAAAAAUUUUAAAUUAAAAUAAUCUUUUAAGUUAUUGGGAAAUAAUAACUUAGUAUAACAAAUAUUAUAUCCUAUACUUUAUUGCUACAAAACUACAAAACCAUAUAUUAUAUUAUGUUUCCAUAUUUCUCUUUUAUAGUGAAGACUCAUACUUCUUCUCUACUAAAUGCUAAAGUAUUGGCUUAAACUUUUUAAUCAGCACAAUAGACCCUAAGCUAUAUAUGUUAUAAUGUCCCUCUUCGCUCACGGAUUAAACCAAUCAGUAGCCUUCUCUCAUAUAGAAAAACUUUUUGCAUAAGACAAAUUAUUAUGUUAUCGGAAAAAUUACAGUAGACGUAAGCUAUAUAUGUUAUAAUGUUCAGAAGAUUGAAGUUAAGAAAAUUAAGGAAAGGGUAAGGAUGUAUUUUCAAAGUGAAUUAUUAAGAGAUCUUUGAAGAUUACUUCCGUCAAGAGUUGGGUCCCAUAGUUUUACCUUUUGCUCGUUCACGUGAAAGUCAGUUUAGAAUUUUUAUCUUAUUUCACAAAGCUAAUUUUUUUUAUCACAAGCAGGAGAGAAACGGCAUUUCUUAGCAGUAGUUCAUCACUGUAGUAGCGAGCGAGUGAGGAACAAAAUUACCAACAAUUAUCAAAAAUAAUUAUACAAAAAAGAUCACAUGCUAUAAUUAAUCAUGACAAUUGACAACAUUACUCCCACCGAGCAAAAGUUAACAGCAUCUUCUCCCACAUUUUUUUAAAAAAAAUUGUAUUAUAUAACCCACCAAAAGUAUAAGGAGUCUUUCCUUAUUAAAAUUAAUAAAUUACUCUUUAUACAGAGAAAUUAAAAUUUAAAAUGAGAAUGAUUGAUGAUGUUCAUUUAUUAAAAUAAAAAUAAAAUUUAUGAAGUCUAUAUAUUUUUAGAAUUAAAGAAUAACAACUUAAUUUUUUAGGGGGAGUGUUGAAAAUCAAAUUCUUAUUCCUUAAAUUCUCAAUUUUACCUUAAAAAAAUUAUAAGUUCACUUUUAUCCUUAAUUAAAAUAUUAUUAUGAUUAUUAUUCUUAUUUUUGUAACAGUUGCAGUUGUUGUUGUUGAUGAUGAUGAUAAUAGUUGAUAAUAAAAUUAAUAAUAAUAAUGAAAAUAAUAACUAUAAUUUUAACAGCUACAAUAAUAAUCAUUAAUAUUAUCGUUGUUGUUGUUGUUGUUAUUAUUAUUAUUAUUAUUAUUAUUAUUAUUAUUAUUAUUAUUAUUUUAAAUAAUAAUAAUCACAAUUAUUAUAACAAACAACGACAAUAAUUAACUAAUGUCAUUUUACUAACUUAUAACAAUUCAUUUUUUUAUUCCAAGACAAACUAACCAUAUCAAUAAUAAUACAGGUCAUUUCAAUUCUAAUUCUUACAGGUAAAGUAAAUAAUUUAUUCUGAUUCUCAUUUUUCAUUUUGAUUUUAUUCUAUUCCGAUUCCAUUUGAUUCUGAUUCCAGCCAAUUCUAAUUACCGAUUAGAAAAUGCAUUGUUACUACUUUAACAAUAACUAAUGAUUCUCCUCACAAUUCUUAUAGGGUUAUCCUUAUUUUAAAAUAUUUUUUAUUCGUAUUUAUUAUUAAUUAAUUAAAUUAUAUCAAUGAAAAUCAAAUAAAAAUUUAAGUAAUAAAAAUGAGAAAAUAUAUGUUUCGGUUUGAAUAAAAAAUUAUAAUAAAAUAUUUUUCUUACAUAUUUUAAAUAUUUUUAUUAUAAUAAAUAUUUUUUUUAUUCUCAAAAUAAAUUAUCAAGUAAACGAUUCAUUAACUCAUUUUUUUCCUUUAAAUUUUUGUUAUUAAGAAGAUUUUUGGGUAUUGACCGUGAAGGGCUCAACUGAUCGCUAAUUUUGCAGCAAUUGCCUUUUCUUUUUCUUUUUUUUAAUUGUUUUGAAAAAAUAUCCAGACUCAUUCUGCAAAGUAUCUGAGGCCAAAGCGCCGAAAGUUAGCAGUUAGUACACCCACAUGUGCUUUUCUUUACAAAAUCUAAAGUUAGCGUGGGUGUCUAUAACUUAAAUUUAAUAUAAUUUAUAAUUAGUAAAAUUCUUUGAUUGACCCAUUAAAUUUUAUUAUUCUAUUACUUAUUUUUAUAUUAAAAAUUUAGUAAUGUAGAAAAAUUCUUAAAAGUUAGAGCGCUGCUAUUCACCCCGAUUUUUAACCCCGAAAAGCGCCCCGAAUUUAAAACGCACCGUUUUGAUUAAAUUGAAAACGGUGCGUUUAACCCAUGUUUCUUCCUUUCCUUUCUUUUGCCAAACCACAGAAACGGACCUUUGCUUCCUUUUCGUUUAAUCCUAUCAUCUUGUGGUCACUGCCGCUGCUGCUUUCUUCAAGACCGAGCUCUCUGCCGCUGCUGCUUCCUUCAAAACCUAACGGCCCGUCCGCAGAGCCCAAUUCAAAGCCGUUCGAUCAAUCGACGAUCCGACACCGAGGCCCAUCAACUGGCGCGUCUGCCUCAGCUUCUUCUUCGUCCUCUCCGGCGUACACGGAAGAGCAAAUCGCGAUCGUGAGACAAAUUAAGAAACGAAAGAUUAUUGCGUGCGUUGAUGGCUCUGAUGGGUUUAAUUUACGUGCGUUGAUUCAGUUGUUGCUUGUGAUUUUGAUAAUUCUCUUGCAGUUUUUGCGUCUUCUAAUCCAAUUUAUGCCAUGUCGAGGUCUUACCCUUAUGAGUACAAGUUUACAACAGAAAGAGGGGUGAAUUUUUAUAUGAAGUCUAGCAAAUUUGAGUAGGACUAUCCGGUGGGUAGUGUUCAGAGAGUAAGGCUCGAAAAGCAAGUUGAAAAGGAUUACUUUACUAUUCUUGCACAGAAUUGCCGGUUAGAGAUUCAACGGCAGCAGUGGGGUUUUAUAAAGGAGACUCCCCAUUGUGACAUGUGGCAGACGUUUCAAUAUUCACCAGCUUGGUAAAUCUGACAAUAAUUUUGUAGUAAUCUACAUAAAGGUUGCUUGAUUGUGCUGCUAUGAUAUUCAUUAUUCAGAUAGGAGUAGCAAUCGUGUUACUGAAAUCUGGUUCAAUGAAACAAGCUGAAGCAAAACUGAAGUAAUUUUCUCCCACAUUCAAUUAAUGCAUCUUCAAAUCUUUCAUAAAGUUGAUCAUUUCCUCGGGAAAUGGAACAUUGCUCUUGUGUAAUGAAGUUUUAAGCAUUGCUGUAAAUGGUUUGUAUAUGAGAAAUUAUUUGUUUUAAUGCCAUAAUUUAUGUGCUGAUUGAUCUUUGAAGAAAUUUUGAGCGCGAUUAACUGUCUCUAGGGUCUGUUGUUGCCCAUGAUGCUCCAACAGCUGGAUGUCUAAUUAUGCAUUAUGAACCUUAACUAUCAGUUUCUAGAGCUGAUGUUCAACUAGCUAUUUGAUGAUGUUUUAGGAAGAUGUAUUUUGGCUGUUUGAGUUUCUAGAGCUGAUGUUAUGUUAGAAAUUAUAUUUAUUUUAAUUGUUGCUGCAGCAACAUAAAUAUAAACUGUUGAUUAACUUGAAUAUCCCAUUUGGAACCAAACAAUGACAAAAAUAAAAUAAUACAUCAAAACACAAGUUAGCAGAUGUUGAUUAACUUGAUACAAAUGCUCACGGUUGAGUAAUUUUAGAUACAAAUACUGAUGGUUCAGCUUACAAAUUAAAAUGAAACAACUCAAGAUUUAUAAAUUUAAAAUCAAACUGCUCAUGAUUCAGCUUACAAUCAUUAAAUAUAGGAACAAUAAUAUACAAACAAAUACUUACGGGUUUUGCAAUGUAGGAAUUCAGCACUCUAACUUUCACGAAUAAGUUGGCGUUUUGCAGUUUGGAAGCUCUGUACUUGGAGUUUUUACAUUUGCAGUUUACAGUUUGCAGUUUCAGUCUGCAAAGCGGAGUGUUGUGGUUCAAGCUUGUGCAAAUAGAAGAAGAAAGAAAAUGUUCACGUGCUGCACGGGUGGAACUAAAUGGGAAAGCAAUCAAAGCAAAAAAGCAAAAAAGCAAAAAAGCAAAGAAGCAAUCAACGCAAAAGGAAAACAGUCAAAGCAAAAAAGAAAUCAAAGCAAAACGCACCGUUUUGACAAUAUUUGGGGUACGGUUUCGGGGUUUAAAAUCGGGGUAAGUAGCUUGCUCUUUCCCUAAAAGUUAAGGAAAAUGAUGUUUGCCCCGGGUCAAACCCCGAAAAUGAAACGCACCGUUUUUAUUAACCCGCAAAACGCACCGUUUUGCCAAGCCCAUUUUCUUUAUCGAUUAAGUGCAGCACAGCCAUUCGAAGUCCUCAAUCCACAAUCAGUAAUAAAUUAUGAUUCUUUUCAAAUCGGAAGGGAGCCCUCCAGAAGGUCAAUUCCAUGAUAUAAUUAGAUGGAUGGAAGAUAUGACAAAGCGGCAAAAAAAUGUGGAGAAGGAAUCAGUUGCAGCUCUACUUUGGGUGAUAUGGAACGCUAGGAAUAAGUGGCUUUUUGAAGGGAAACAAGAGGCUCCAGCCAGAUUAGUAGCAAGAGCUGAAUCAGUUGUGGAGUCUUUUAAAAAUGCCAGCCAGUAUGAUGGGUUAAGGCCAAAUCAGAAAAGGGAGGGUAAGGAAAACCACAGGCAUUCUCUUCCAAAUGGGUGGCUAAAGGUAAAUGUAGAUGCUGCAGUGAACGUUGAGAAACAUGUAGCUGGGCUGGGGGUGGUAAUAACAGACGGGAACCAAAAUUGUAUAAUUGCUGCCAUUAACACUUCUAGAUACUUUGGCAACGUGGCAAUGGCCGAAGCUGCAGCUGUGAAAUGGGGAUUGCAGGUUGCUUUGAGAGUGGGGGGAACCUCUGUGUUGCUUGAAUCGGACUGUCAUGAAGUAGUAGAGAUUAUAAAUAACAGAGACAGUAGUAUGAUGGAAAUCUUUUGGGUGAUCUCUGAAAUUCUGGAAAUUAAGAAGAGUUUUCAGAAUUUCAAGGCUCAACACACACAUAGAUCUUGAGGGGUUUUGCAGUUGGGGUUAUGUAGUUGGGUUGUGUGGUGAAGUGAAAAAUCGAAAGCGAAAGAUGAUUUUUCUGUUUCUUUAUUACAGGAGAAAGAUGAGUUUGAUAAAGAGCUGGAAUGCUCAAGCAAAACGACGUUGUUUUAAGAAAAAUUGAAACGACCCAAAAAACUAAUAAAACGGCGUCGUUUUAUUAAAGCUUCGGGGCUUGACCCGGGGUUUGACCCGGGGCAUCUAUCAGCGCCCAAAAGUUAAUGGAGAAGGAAAAGAAAAAGAAAAAGUGUAAAUGAACUGUAUUCACCUAAGUUUCAAACAUGUGGUUCAAUCUGAAUUUGCUUUUUUCAAAAGUAAAUACAAAAGAAAAUAUAAAGAAAAAGAAAUUAAACGAGACAAAAAUUUGUGGCGUGGGUCAUUCAUAUCUUUUGCCAUUUCUUUUGUAGAGGUACAUAGGGUAGAUAUUUUGAAGUGAAAAGCAGAGCUUUUAUUGUUAUUUGCCUUAUCAUCUUUUAAAAUUAGAGUUAUUAUUCUUUUAUUUUUAAGUAGCCAACGGAUGGUAGCCAACUCAUCCGUGUUCUCUAUUAUUGAAUUUAAAGAUCAAUAAUUUAUGUUAAUAAAUAUUUUGUUAACUAUCAAAGUUUUUAUUUCAAAAUUACUGUUAUAAUUCAUUAAAAUUUCAAUUUUUCCUUUUUCUAUUCACACAACAGAUUGAUUUGCCCUCCAAAAAAAUGUAUUAGAUCGUUUAAUAUUGUAACAUCAAGAAACUUAUAAUAAAUUUUUAAAGAGAUAAAUAGAGAAUGUCAGUCUCGCAUCUACUUAAAAUUAAUAAAUAUACCACUAACUCCUUAUUAUUUUUAUAAUAACUAAUAACUUUCUUAACAAUAUAUUUUUAUAGUAUUAUCCUUGUUUGUAAGUACAUUUUUAUUCAUAUUUAUUAUAAAUUAAUUAAAUCAUAUCAAUAAAAAUUAAAAUAACACAAUAUGUUUUGGAGUGAAUAAAAGAUUGAAAAUAAAAAUAUUUUUCUUAUAUUUUUUGUUAUUUUUAAAUGUUUUUCUUAUAAUAAAUGUACAUUUUAUAUUCUUAAGAUGAAUUUUGAGUAAAUGACUCAUUUACUCACUUUUUCUUUAAAUUUUUUUGUUACUAGGAGGAUUUUUAGAUAUAAUGAAAAUUGUAAGGUAGUAAGUAAUAUGGCCAAAACUACAUUGCGUCAGGGGUUUGGUGCCCCACUCGUUUGUCUGUUAGCAAGGUCAGCGUUGGAUUUGAUCUGACGGCUGCAGAAGAGACACAAAUAUAAAGGGUAGUAACCUGAGGCAAAGGUAACAAGCCAGUCACCUGCAGAAAAUAAGUGUAUGAUAAAAUAACACAUGCAAUGAAUUUUGUAUUUUUUUUUUUUAGAAGACACAUGUAAUGAACUUGCUGGAAGCGUACAUGCAAGUAAUGGUUGGAAACAACCUACUGAAACCGUGCAAGUAUUGGUUGGGCUAAGAUUGACAUGAAAUUUCCCAAAUAGUGUCCGAAACAUUUGCAAAUAGUUAAUUCAAAGCGUCAAUAAAUGCUGGAAAAAAUACAUAUUUUUUAUUUUUUUUAUUAAGAAUACAUUUUUUUUGAUAAAAAAAUAAAUUAUUAAUGGUACAUAGCAACAAAUAUACCCAAAACAAUUAUCCAUAUAUUUGAAAAACAUUUGUUAACAAUACAUAUUUUUAGUAGUACACAUAUUAUAACAUAAACAAAUUGAGUUGUAUCAUGGACAGCCAUAAACUAUGAACAAAGAUUACGAUCUAAACUCCACAUGCAUGUUUAAUUUGUAGAUUCCAUUUUUUUCAUAAUGUGUUUCCCACCAUGGGAUAACAAGGGUUAUUCAGGCAAAACACUACGGCAAUUCAUUAUCAUAGACAGGAAAAAGACAAUGGCAAAGAUCAAUGAUUUAACACACAAGAAUGAGUGAAUAACAACAGCAAGUGAGAACCAUGCAGAAUCCUUUUUAUUAGAGAUCCUUUCUUAAAUCUUAAAUAAGAACAUUAAAUAAGCUUGAAAAAUAUUGGUAACUGGCCCAAUACACAUCCAUCUAACGGAAAACAGCGGACAGUUUGACGCAUGUGUGGAGCACUUGAGGAAACAGAGCAUCCACGGAAUGCCUAAAUUUGAAAAAAAAAAAAAUUGCAUUUGACGAAAAGGACUUUGAGCGUUCAAAUACAAAGUGUCGAUUAACCUUACAAGAUACAUCAACCAUCACAUAUGCUCAACAUGCAAUACCAAAUUAAAUUACCCAUCUCCAGGGUUGGAUUUGUCUUCAAUCAGAUGAAUGCUGGAGAGAAUAUAAUUGAAAGAAUGGCAUCAUCUACCAUGCAAGCUAAGGCUCCUUACAGAUGCUCAACAUGACACCACAAAAGAAAAUACAAUAUCAAAGACACAUCACCAACAUAUAUGCAAACUACCAAUUCUCACAGCAUGCAGUGCAACAACUCAUAAAAUAUGAAAUUUAACAUCAUCUAAGCAUUUUCUCAAGCUUAUUUCUCAUUAAAGAACUUAACUGAAAGUAGUAAACAUAGAGACAUAUAACAGCUUUAUAAGUACAGACCACAAAGUAGAACUUUGUUCGAAUGAUAAUGAUCAUAAUCCACAUUAUAAACGCAGUGAAAUCAUCAAAUGAAAUAAGAACACAGUACACAAUUACACAAAUAUUAGGCUUAAUUAAUUAUUUAGAUUAAAACACCAACUCACACAACUUCCUUGUUGGAAUCUUCUCAUAUCCCAUCUUCUUAGGGCUCAGAUCAUCAUCGUGAUCAUCAACAUCAGUGAAUUCCUCAUACGAAUUGCGAGAAUCGUGACGAUUAGCAAAGAGGCUCCACACCAAAUACAUGGUAACGGCAGUAAGCGAAUCACACCCAACGCCGAAAAGCAAAGCGACUGGUCCGGUCGCAUAGAGAGGAGAAGUCGUGCUCGAAGGGCAAAACACGACGUUUUGGCUCAUGGAUGAGGUGCUGCUCCCGAUCAUCGAUUGAAGGGAGAAUUGGACAAUCGAAGAAGAUUAAGGGACGGUGGGGACUGAAUUGGCGAAUUUCGGUGAAGAUUGUGACGAAUCCAACGGGGUUCUCGGAGUUUGGGUUAGGGUUACGGGGAUUGAAAUGGAUCGAGUAAGAGGAAAUGAAGAGGGUUUUGCAUGGCCUUCCGGAGGCUGAAAUUGAGAGGACACCAUGAAUAUUGUGAGAGCUAAGAGGAGAUGCUGAGUCGAUGACGCCAUUGAUUCGUACCACAUAGCUUCGAUUGGAAAUGAAGCCUCUAAUAGCUUUAGCCGGUUACCCAUUUUUCAAGUGUUAAAUCUCAACCGUUGACUGCCUUUCUUUAUGAUUUCAAGGGUCAUUCACAAAAGGACAAAGGUCAAUAUGCGGUGGACCACACCCUUGAGUUUUCCUCGUCGUCUCAGUCAACUAAAAGGACAAAAUAUUGAGUCUUUAAGGACUCAACUGAUUGUUAAUUUCACAGCAAUUACCUUUUUUCUUUCUUUUUUUUCUAAUUAUUUUGAAAUGGUAGGUAGCAAUUGCUUACAUCAAAAUAUCUAAACUCACUCGGCAAAGUAUCCGAGGCCAAAAUGCCAAAAGAUGGGACACCCACAUGUGCAUCUAAUUACAAAGUCUAAAGUUAAUGAAAAGAAAAAGAAAAAGAAAAAGUAUAAAUGAACGGUAUUCACCUCACUUUCAAACAUCUAGUUCAACAUGAAUUUCCUUUUACCAAAAGUAAAUUUCCUCUCGAAUUGUCCUCAUUACAUCAAACGAAUGAUGACGACGCUCUGUCCGUUUCUGGCUCUCUGCUUUUCUCUCUCACAUCACGAGACACCUCGUUUCUAACUGGGGUACCACCAUCAUAUUUAACUGUUAGGUCUUCCUACUAUGCACCUGAUGUAUGCAUGAUUCCUUAUGACAUGACAUACAGCCAAUUAAAUUCUGACAUGUUUGCAAUAAAGACUGUUAAACCGGUUGAAUUCACAAGAUCUCUUGUUUGUGUGUUUAUGUUCCAAGUUGUGUACUCUGUGUUAUGAGUUCUCUAAUUAGUCUGAUAUUAUCGCAACUGUUGCUCAAUAAUGUUAUAGGUUUUAUAAUAUAUGUCACCGGUACGAUCGCUGUCUCAAGUGGUAAACUUUGAGGCACAAAUUUAGAACGAAAAGUUCCUAAUAAAAUAAAUUAUUUAAUUAAUUAAAUAAGAAUAAAAUGAAUUUGUGAAAAAAAUUUAAAUUUAAUUUUGAAUUAUUUUGACCAAAAUUUAAGUUUUUUUUUAAUUUGUUUAAGAAAAUGCGUUGUAAUUGUCUUGUUUUAAUUGGAAAAUCAAUGAAAAAAUUAUGUAAAAGAAAAAAAAAAAAAAGCAAAACGGUUUGUUUUGGAUGGAGGCCAUAGAUUCCAAUAUUUCCUUCACGAAAACUACAAAAAAUUAUCAAAGGCAUCAAUUUCUACACUCUCACGGAGCAAUACUCUUAACCCAGAAGAAAGUGUAUAAACCAACCCCAAUUAGUCCAUCAAUGUCGUCAACCUCAUACAGCAUAAAAAAAAUCUGUGUCCAUUAAACCGCCAUUUAAACCGUCUUGAUUGAGCCAUUAGACUAUUCGUGUCAUCUUCCCAUCUCGUUGUAGUAUUUUGCCGUUCAAAUCUAGCUAUCAAUUGGGGAAAAUGGGGACCAAUCUGCAAGUCUUUAAAAUAGAAAGAAACUUUUAUUGGGCACUAUGUUCACGGUGGACCCAGCAGCAUUAAUAUUUAAGAUGGAGUUAUUUGUAUUUUAAAAAUUAUUUUAAACAUUCUAAUUUUAAUAAGAAUAUAUAUUAUAAAAAUAUUUAUCAUAUAAGUUAUUGGACAAUAUAUUAUAAGUCAACAUUAUAUAAUUACUUUGAACACUUAUAUAGCACAAUCCUAAUUCAAUUUAUUAUUCUCAUGACUUAAAUAUAAAAAUUUUUAUUUCCAACAUCUUAAUUAAUAUGUAGAUGAAUAAUAAGGAAAUUAACUUUGAGAAAAAAUUAAAUACAAAAUAUGUGUAAAGCUUUUAAAAAAUAAAAUAAAACAAAAGUAUUGCACAAGAUUUUGGGGGGGGGGGGGGGGGGGGGUUUGGCCAUUCUUCUUCUCCUCCUCUCUCUCUCUUUUGUUUGGGUAGUAUUUAUGGAACAUUUUCUAUUGUUAUGUUCUCAUCGCAAGUUAUUUUAGGUGUAAAAUUCAAUAUUGAAAAUAAAUUAAAUAAAAAAAUAGUAACUAAAAUUAUGUUAAAUUAUUUUUUUAUAAAUUAAUUUUUAAUUAUAUUAUUGUGAGUAUAUGCUAAAUCUCUUAAAAAUAGAGUGUUGAAUAAUUUUAUUAGUUUUUUAAAUAAAUAAAGUUAAGUAACUUAAAAAGUUUAAGUAAGGAUAUUUUUAAAUUUUAAACAGUAUACAAAGUAAAAUUUAAUUUUUUUAUAAUUAAGCUAUGAGCGUGCAAAGUAAUAUUUAGAAUACUAAUAAUCCUACCUUAAUCUUUAUCAUCACAUUAUUUUCCAUAAAAAGUUUACAAUUACCUCUUUAUUGGAUAAUUUUGUUCCCUCUCUUACCUUAUGUUCCCUUACAUUCUCAUUUCUGCAUCACCAUUUAAAUUAUAAUCAUAACGUUAAUCUUUAUCUAUCACAUAUUUUGCCAAAUUUAUUCGCACCGCAAAGCUCUUUCCUUUUUUUUUCCCCGUUAAGUUUGCUAUAAUGUACGUGAAGAAUUUAAAGAGAUCUUUCGUGUCCUUACCCUUUUUUUCGGGUGCACUUUUGCUGCUUUUUUACGUUUCUCCAGAAUUCACUUCAACAUGACUGGCGCAUUUUCUUCUUUCUCGCUGCAACAUCAACUAGGCCACCACCUCUUGCCUCUCCCGGUUCCCCUCAAUUUUCGUAUUCAAUGUCCACCGUUGAUUGUACAUUUAUUAAAAUUCUGUGGUUAUUAUUUUUUUGCAUAUAUUUAAUUCCACACGGUCUAUCGAUAGAGCAGGUGCAUCGUAGUUGUGGCCUUAACCCUGUUAUUGGUAACUCAAUAGCUAAUUCUAAUGUUUCAUCAAGCAGUUUAGAGAUAACCUCUCUCGCUGAACACCCUGGAGUAACGCAAUCCAGUUUUCCAGUGCAAUCAUCAGACAGUUGAACAGCUUCUGAAUUCCCUUUGCUUUUCUUGUUUUCUUUUCCAUGAAAAGGGAGCUCAGGCUUCAAUAUAUCUGGGGAUUGAGUACUAAUGAUAAAGACAACAUACGGUAGAGGACACAAAUUGUUAUCAAAGAAUGAUGCACUUUUCAACUGAGUACAGUAAAGCAGUACAGUAAAGCGAGAAUGGGUAAUUAGUUUUACCUGCUAAGCGAAAAUCUAGACUCCUGAAGGUAACCGAUCUUGGGUGAAGCAAAUAAAGAAGAAGGCGAAGUAAAAUUCACUGAGUUGAAUGAGCGAUCAUUGCGUAUGGACUUGAUUUGUUCAAUGGGUGAAAGACCGCUGAUAUAAUUAAAGACUGGAGAAUCCUGUACGUUGACAAGCAUCAUUUUUAAUCGAACAGAGAGUCUUAAAAACCUUGUCAGUGGCAAAUGAUCACGACAAGAAAUCUGAAGUAGAAACAGCAUAGCUCAACAAAUCACUAAGAGAAUAAGACCAAUAACCAAGCAGAUAAAAGAAAAGCAAAAUAACCCAUCUCAAAAUCACCACAUGCACAAUUUAAGGGGUUUGUGACAUGGGUUUAAACAUGAUUUAACAAGUGCCACCUGUGAAUUGUCAGAGAUUGUAUUUUCAUACACGUGUCAAAUUUUCAAAUCCAACAAAUUGUUAUCUUUCUAAAGAGGCUAAUAUUAUUAUUAUCUAUGCAUAGCAUGCUAUAAACAAUUCAUAUUACUAGGGCCUUUGUUUUCUGUGCACAACAUAUGGACAGAGGAACAAAUCCCUGAGCUAAAAUCAUCAUAUUCCAAAAUAUUCUAUUAAAUCAACACCACAAAACGCGAACGCUAAACAGAAUUGGAGCAAUUUACCAAAGCUAUUUGUCACGCAAAGCACUAGUACCUCAGAACCCAAUUUGCAAAAAAGCACCAAAAAUGAAAAAUAACAAAUGCCCAGAUGAAAAAUCAGGAAAAAAAAAUGCUCAAAUCCAAAUUACAACCCCAUAAGUUGAGUCGUUCUCUUCGAACUGAAUUAAAAAAGAUUAAAAAAAUAAAAUAGGGAGAUUGACCUCAAACUUUGGAAACAGAAGCGACAGCGAUCUGUUUCUUGUCUGGAGUGUCCAUUUCUAUAAUCUACUUUGUCCGUUUUCAGUCGCUCUGCUACAGAGCUUCUUCCCUCUGAAGCUGAAGCUCACACACUCUGCAAAACGAAAGCAUUUCUUUUUGAUUGAGAGGCGGGAAGGCGGGAAAAUGAGAGAAAUUUGCAUUUGUUUUCUCUUGGUUUGGUCAUACCUGUGCGGGCCCCAGCUUGACAAGCGGUAUUUUUACUAUUUGUAUAAUUUGCAUGACGCGUGUCACGCAAUGACGAUAAAAUAUAUAUAUAUAUAUAUAUAUUGUUAAUUUUUCACUUAACAUUGAAAUAUCAUAUAAUUUUUCCAAUUUUAUGGUUAUUUUCUCGCCCUUAUGCCACAUUCUUUUGAUCAAAUAAUACAGUAAAACUUUUCUAUAAUCGUAAUAUUAGAGCCAAAUUAACUUUGUUUCUGUAAAGAGGCUAUAGCUUAAUAAAGGUAAAAUUAUAAAAAUUAUUAUUUUGACUCAGUUAUCUUUAGUGCAAGUGAUAUAAAGUACAAAUAUAUGAUAAUUAAUUAAUGAACUAUGUCAAAUACAAUAUGCUGACAAUUAGGGGUGGGCAAAAUCGGGUUCGGGUCGGGUUCGGGUCAACCCGAUCGGGUUUCGGGUUGUUCGGGUUAGACAAGGAGCAAUCCGAACAUAACCCGAAUUAAUGAUCCGACCCGAACCGACCCGAACUAUCUUCGGGUCGGUUCGGGUCGGGUCAUUAAUUCGGGUUAUGUUCGGGUUGGAUUUAAAAUGGGUAGGAUUGAGUUCGGGUCAAUUUGGGUCAGUUCGGGUCAAUUCGGGUCGGUUGAAAUCGGGUCAGUUCGGGUCAAUUCGGGUCAGUUCGGGUCAGUUCGGGUCAAUUCGGGUCGGUUGAAAUCAGGUCAGUUCGGGUCAAUUCGGGUCAGUACGUUUUUUUUUUUUUUUUUUUUUAAGAACCCGAUCGGGUAUUCGGAUCGGGUCGGGUUUGACCCGAACCGAUCACAACCCGAUCGGGUUUGUAAAUUUCAAACCGAUCGGGUUUCGAUCCCGACCCGAUCCGACCCGAACCCGAAAUUUAUCGGGUCUGGUUGGGUCGGGUCGGGUCGGGUCGGAUCGGGUAAAAUGCCCACCCCUACUGACAAUGAUAAAAAAGAUAGAUAAUUUCAAGAAACUAAUGCAUAUAUUUAUGUAGUGUUGGGAUUAUACAAAAUUAUCUUAAAAGUGUAAAGAGUAAAGUAAUAUUCUGAUUAAUUUAAAAAAAAUUAUUUUAUCUUAAUCUUUAAUGCAACAUAGCUUUUUUUUUUUUUUUCUUAGCAACAAAGCAUUGUUCCAAAUAAUUAUUAUUGGAUUCAAAUCAUGUCCUAGGCAUUUUUUCUUCUAGUCGUCUUAAACUUUUAAGGAUUUAUUGGCAUGUGUCAAUCAUUAAUGAAAUUAAAUAACUAAGACUUUGUUUUAAUUAACGUUUACAUAAAUAGACAUCAAAACUCACGUGUGAUUCUUAUCAAAUUUUUUCCUGCAAAUUCUUUUCCUCUCAACUAUUCAUAUUUUGACAUUAAUUUCCAGCAAAUUAUUAAAAAAAAGAAGCGUAAAAUGGAGAAAAGUGAUUGACAACAAGGUUUGCAUCUUAAUUUCAAAAUUUCCCUUUCUUUGCUAUUUUUGUGGGUUCUACAAUUGUUGUUUUCACUCUCAGACAUGGCAAGUCCUUUGACAAAUGUUUCCCCGUUAGCAGAUUUAUCAUAAUGCAUCUCUCUGCAUCCCCACCUAAGAUGGAACCUGUUCUCACAAGAACAGACUCCAAGGUUGGGAAAAUCAAUUGAUCAUCGGAGAAAACAAACAGGAUUAACAAAUCACUACAAUGGUGUGAACCCGUAUAUACAAACGUACCUGCCCCCUUUGUCUGUGAUAUAUUUUCUUAUUGGCCCACUCAAAUAAACAUCCGGAGAAUCCUUGAGCAUCUGCAAUAGGGAAGCCUCGGUCUUAGUUGCAAACAGUGCAAAUAUAGUAUGCAUACAACGAGCAAUGAUGUUAUCACAAUCAAUAAACCCAAGGGCAAACGCAACAGGAUCUUACAUUCUUUGGAUACUCAUCCAUGUACCACCCUUGGACAAAAACCAAUCAGAGAAGCUUAUCUGUAAGAAGAAAUGAAGUUUGAGGUAAAAUAAAAAUUUGUAGGAACAGGGAUUGAAAUUCAACAAACAAGAAAAUAUGUUGUUUGUUGAAAUUCAACAAACAACAAACAAGGCUCCAUCAGGAUCAAGAAGUGCCUUUACAACAGGACUCACCGCAAGAGCAAUAGCAUUUCUUGAUUUAUCAUAAGUCUGCACUUGAGCAAUAUACGAGGCAAAGUACAUCAAAAGAGAAUCCAAAAGAGGCAAGAAGCUUCAACAUGAAAAAAGGGAGUACUGCCUCGUCAUACUGCUUUGCAAUCACAGUGCAAAAGAUAACAUCAACAAAAUCAAAAUCGAGCAUAAAUCUGUAUGCACUACCUUAAGCUGAUUUGUAGACAAAAAUGCACGAAUCCCAUGUAAUGGAGCUCCAAUCGGAAACCGGAAAUCAAGUUCUGGAGUUGAAAAUCAAAAUCAUGAAUCAAAUCAGAGUUAUUAUUGAAUUAGACAAUCCAUAAACCAAUAGAAGGUGAUGUCAAACCAUCAAGCAUAACUAUUAGUUGUUUUAAGUGAUCAAGAAAUAACUAUACCACCAAUUUC
rnacentral:lncRNA from 1 species